rnacentral:lncRNA from 1 species
UAAUCAUUACAAGAGGAUCAAUGCAUAUAAGUUUAGAAUCUAACAGAUUUCAGUAAAUGGCAUGAAUUUGGAAUUCUUGCAUUUGCAGUAAGGAUUUGGGAGUGUGAAAAGAGAAUCAUUGAAGUUAUGUUCAAUUGAUCUAGUUCACAAAGUAAAGAUCAUAGACAAACAUAGUAUGCAUACUUGGUGUGUGGCAUGACUAGUGUUUAAGAAAACAUAGUGUACAUGCUUGGAGCAUGGGACAACUAUUGUUUUAAAUUCAAGAAUAAAGUUGAUAGCUGAAACAGUAUACAAUGAAUAAUGUGUAAUCAUAUGGUGAUAAAUAAAAGGUGUUUUAUUUAUGUUCAAAGAGUUGAUACCAUAUUGGAUUCAAUUAUUAUUGUGUUUCACUUUGCAUGUUUUGACUUCCCGAAUAAACUAGGUUAUUCUUCCGGAAUGACUAAGUUAUUCAAACCAUCCACAGUCGGUCAUAUGUUGGAAGUAGAUAUGAAUUAAGACUGUCAUGGGUUGGCUUGUAGAGGUCUAAGGUGUUGGACAAAGGGCUACAACACUCAUGAGUGCUCAUAAGUUCUGAGUAUUGGAUUCAACCCGCGCUCAUUGGAAUCACUUCAUGGAUUUUAUCACGAGUGAUCAUGAGACGAUAAUAUCUUAUAUUCUUCAAACCUAGAGAUAUGAGUUGUUACUAUGAGUUGAUAGUACAUUGAUUGCACGAAAACGCAUUUGGUAACUCGGUGCUAUAAAACGUGCCUUUGUGUAUGAUUCAACAAGUAGUAGAACAAGCCAUAUGAGUCGAAGUUUAUCCAUUCCUUUUACCUUCGGGAUAAAAGCGAUAUCUGUGGGCCCCUCGAUGAUUUAGUGAUGACAAAAGUAAGUGCUCGGCCGGGCCUGGACUGAUUUGAUUUGUUCAAUUAGUCAGUCGUCAUAAAUCAGAAAUCGGGAAACAACAAAUGGACAGAGAGAAUGAUUAUAAUCCAUGUCUCAGUCCAUAUGAUAUCUAGAAUGGAGGAAUAUAUGAUCACUUAUCUAAUGGACAAGUCAUUGACAGAGGUCAGAGUUCAUCGACAAGGUCAGAGAUCGACAGAAGCUUUUGAGAGCUACGAUUGCUAGUCGGGUUCUGAAGUCAUACUUGCAAUAAUAGUUUUAGACUUAUCCAAGUGGGAGACUGUUGGAUUAAUGUCUAAGUCCAUAACUAUAAUUGGUAAGACUUGACCCGACCCGGCAUGGUCCAUUUGGGUUGCAUGGCAUCAUGCACUUGGAUAGACUAAAAUGAGAGAAAUAACACUUAAGGUUUAUUAAUAUAUUAUAAAUUCUAAUAUAUUAAUAGAGAUUAUUUAAUUAGUAUUGAUCAAGAAUUAAUCUAGAAUUAAUUAAGUGAUCAAAAGAAGACUAAUUAUAUAUAUGGGUUGAUUGUGUAAAUCUUCCAUAACUUAUAUAGUGGGCUAAUGCUCCAUGGAUUAUCAAGUUGGGCUAAAACCCAUAGGAUGCUCCAUGGUGUAUUUGAACCCAUGGAUCCAAGGAAAUGGAAAGCCAUGACAAUUAGGGUUUACCCUAAUUGUAACAACUAUAUAAGCAUCUUAUUGAUGUGAGAAAUCGGCCACGAGGUGUGUAUGGAGUGCAAACCGAUUCUUGAAGUGUUCUAAUUUAUCUCUAAGUUAUUCCAAGUGCUUAUGGUGUUGUAUGAACCAUUUGAGGUGUCACACUUGGGGCACUAGGCACUCAAGCUUCAUGAAGACAAGCACCAAAAAAAAGGUAUGUUAUUGUAACUUGUGUUAUUCAAAGUUUUGUAUGCUAGAAUAGAACAAUACCUUGGAAAGUUGAUAUUUGCAAGUAUAAUAGAGAAAACAUAGAUCCAAGGUAUUUAGGGUUGCAUGAACACUUAGGAUUUUUAGAUUGCUCAAAACCCAACAAACACGUAGACCAUUCGUUUGAUAACGCGGAAAAACUUUCGAGUACACGCGGUCCGCGUGUAUCCUAUUGCAAUUUUCUCAAUUUUCGCCCUUUGACCAAAACGAACAACGGCCUUAAAAUCCAACACUCUUUUACUGCAAGAAGGAAGAAGAAAUGUUAAGUGCAAAAAGGAUCUAUCUAAGACAUUUAUUCGAAAUUAGAAAAGAUGAAAACUAUAAUUUUUCCAAAAAUGCACUUCUUUAAUGUCUUUGGCGAGACGUCCUUCUCUUUCGAUUUUAGUAAUCCGGGGCAUCCAAUUGGAUGGCAUCUAGUUCAUUCGCAUUAUAACCUUCAUAGAAAGGUUUCAAACGAUGCCUAUUGACUUUAAAGAUUUGCCCCGCUGCUUCACUUUGGAUCUCAACCGCUCUGUGCUCAAAGACAUUUAGCACAACAAAUGGACCUAUCCGUUUUGACCAAAAUGAACACCGGCCUUAAAAUCCAACACUCUUUUACUGCAAGAAGGAAGAAGAAGAAAUUUUAAGUGCAAAAGUGAUCUAUCUAAGACAUUUAUUCGGAAUUAGAAAAGAUGAAAACUUUAAGUUUUCCAAAAAUGCCCUUCUUUAACGUCUUUGGCGAGACGUCCUUCUCUUUCGAUUUUAGUAAACCGGGGCAUCCAAUUGGAUGACAUCUAGAACAUUUGCAAUUAAACCUUCAUAGAAAGGUUUCAAACGACGCCCAUUGACUUCUAAGAUUUGCCCUGUUUCUUCACUUUGGAUCUUAACCGCUCCGUGCUCAAAGACUUUUAGCACAACAAAUGGACCUAUCCAUCUUGACCUCAAUUUUCCAAGAAAUAAUUUCAAUCGCGAGUGGUAAAGAAAAACGCUAUGUCCCGACUCAAAAUGCUUGUGGGUAAUGGACUUGUCAUGCAAAAGCUUCGUUUUCUCCUUGUAAAUUCUCCAGUUUUCAUAAGAGUCAUUUCUUAAUUCUUCCAACUCUUGAAGUUGAAGCUUCCUAUGCCUUCCCGCCUCAUCAAUGUUGAAGUUGCAUUGCUUGACUGCCCAAAUGGACGGUGUUCCAAUUCCACAGGAAGAUGACAUGGUUUUCCAAAAACUAAUCUAAAUGGAGACAUUCCUAUCAGGGUCUUGUAAGCGGUCCGAUAAGCCCACAAGGCAUCAUCAAGCCUCGAACUCCAAUCCUUUCUUGUUGGGUUCACAGUUUUCUCAAGAAUACUCUUCACCUCACAAUUCAAAACCUCCGCUUGGCCAUUCGUUUGAGGGUGGUAGGCGGUAGAGACACAAUGGGUCACGUUAUACUUUUUUAGCAAGGCCUCCAUCAUCUUAUUGCAAAAAUGCGUCCCUCGAUCACUAAUCAAAACCCUAGGCACACCAAAUCUCACAAAGACAUUAGAUUUUAAAAAGUCGAUAACCGUUUUGACAUCAUCCGAUCGUGUGGCUUUGGCCUCAACCCAUUUAGAAACAUAGUCAACCACGAGCAAGAUAUAAAAGUUGCCAAAUGAGACGGGAAAUGGACCCAUAAAAUCAAUCCCCCAUACAUCAAAAUUUUCACAAACAAGGAUUGGAUUUUGUGGCAUUUGGUUCUUUUACGAAAUGUUCCCCGUCCUUUGGCACCGUUCACAACUUUUGCAAAACAAGUAACGGUCGUGUGACAUGGUUGGCCAAAAUAGUCCACACUCAAGGACCUUUCUCAAGGUCCGGCUAGGUCCGAAAUGUCCCCCACAAGCAAAUUCAUGACAAAAUUGUAAAAUGGAUUGAUGCUCUUUUUGGGGCACACAUCGCCUAAUAAUUUGAUCGGGACAAUGUUUCCACAAAUAAGGUUCAUCCCACACAUAAUAUUUUGCAUCACUUUUCAAUUUGUCUUUUUGAGCACGUGUGAAUGUGUCGGGAUACCUUUCCGUGACCAAAAAGUUAACGAUAUCGGCAUACCAAGGAGUAGAUUGAGUAUGCGAAAAGAGAUGCUCAUCCGGAAACUCGUCCAGCAACGGGAGAGGAGUCUCAUUCGAAGUGAUCCGGCUUAGGUGAUCGACAACAAGAUCUCGCAUCCACUCUUGUCCCGGAUUUCCAAAUCAAAAUUUUGUAAUAGUAAAAUCCGCCGGAUGAGUCUUGGCUUUGCAUCUUUCUUUGUCAUUAAGUACUUGAGAGCUGCGUGAUCCGAAUACACAAAAACUUUGGUGCCAAGUAGAUAUUGCCUAAACUUCUCCAAAGAGAACACUAUGGCUAAUAGCUCCUUCUCCGUGAUAGAGUAGUUGCUUUGAGCAUUUUCUAGUGUCCUCGAUGCAUAGUAGAUCACAUGGGAGGGUCUUCCAUUCUUUUGACACAAAACGGCUCCUAUUGCAUAGUUUCUUGCAUCACACAUUAUAUCAAAGGGGAGAUCCCAAUUUGGUGCUUGCAUGAUGGGAAUGGAUGUAAGCAACUCUUUAAGCAUGUCGAAAGCUUCUUUGCACGCCUCAUUGAACUCGAAAUCAACAUCCUUUUACAAGAGUUGGCACAUUAGUCUUGUUAUCUUUGAAAAGUCCUUGAUGAAAAUCUUGCAACUCUCCACCCCAAGCUUUAAGCUUUAUUCAAUAUUCCAUGAGAAAAAAUUUACCGCGAAAACCCGUGAAAUCCGGCAACAGCUUGAGAUUCCGGCAAAAUUUCCGGCGACCUUUGAGAGAUAUUUUUAGUGGGGUUUGUAGCCUUGACCAAGAGGAGCACAAUGGUGGUGUCGGAAUUGCGAGAGGUGGCCGGAGUUGGCCGAAAAAUGGUCGGAAAGUGGCGAGAUGGUGGUUUUGGCACCCGGAAUUACAUCAACGGAUCAGACCAGAUUUUGGGUGGGGUUUGUAGAGCUCGAAAAAUGGAAGAGAAUGGCGGUGGUUUCAAGAAAUUCCGACCGGCGGUUGGACGGGAAAUCGAGUUUUAGUGAUGGAGAUGGAGGUUGUUUUAAUGGAGGAUAGAAGAGUAAGAAGAAGAAGAAUGAGGAAGAAGGGCCAGCUGAUGGCUUCUAUUAGGCUUAAGUUAUGGUCAAACGUGGUCAAAACCGAGUCAACAAAAGUCAACGCCUCACUCGGAUGCGUCUGUGAGUACACGCGUUCCGCGUGAAUAACCCUAGAUCAAUUAUGUUUGCCAUCCUUACACGCGGUCGAAUUCGGAGAGGUUACACGGUCCGUGUUGAUAACCCAUGCGGACGAACCCACGAGGACAUGUGGUCCGUGUGUAAUGCCCUAAAACGGUCCAUUUGCUCGAUAUUUCACACGGUCAUCUUCCCGAGUAAAUGCGGUCCGUUUGUAUAAACAUGCGGACGGCUCUUCGAGUAUACGUGGACCGCGUGGAAUGUUAUGUAAGCCCCGAUUUUUGAAAAUGGACGCAGACAUUUUUGUGGACAACAUGCGGACCACUCGUUUCUUAACGCGGAAGAACUUUCAAGUACACGCGGUCCGCGUGUAUCCUGUUGCAAUUUUCUCAAUUUUCGCCCUUUGACCAAAACGAACAACGGCCUUCAAAUGCAACACUCUUUUACUGCAAGAAGGAAGAAGAAAUGUUAAGUGCAAAAAGGAUCUAUCUAAGACAUUUAUGCGGAAUUAGAAAAGAUGAAAACUAUAAGUUUUCCAAAAAUGCACUUCUUUAACGUCUUUGGCGAGACGUCCUUCUCUUUCGAUUUUAGUAAACUGGGGCAUCCAAUUGGAUGGCAUCUAGUUCAUUUGCAUUAAAGCCUUCAUAGAAAGGUUUCAAACAAUGCCUAUUGACUUUAAAGAUUUGCCCCGCUGCUUCACUUUGGAUCUCAACCGCUUUGUGCUCAAAGACUUUUAGCACAACAAAUGGACCUAUCCAUUUUGACCAAAACGAACACCGGCCUUAAAAUCCAACACUCUUUUACUACAAGAAGGAAGAAGAAGAAAUGUUAAGUGCAAAAAUGAUCUAUCUAAUACAUUUAUUCGGAAUUAGAAAAGAUGAAAACUUUAAGUUUUCCAAAAAUGCCCUUCUUUAACGUCUUUGGCGAGACGUCCUUCUCUUUCGAUUUUAGUAAACCAGGGCAUCCAAUCGGAUGACAUAUAGGACAUUUGCAUUAAAACCUUCAUUGAAAGGUUUCAAACGAUGCCCAUUGACUUUAAAGAUUUGCCCCGUUUCUUCACUUUGGAUCUUAACUGCUCCGUGCUCAAAGACUUUUAGCACAACAAAUGGACCUAUCCAUCUUGACCUCAAUUUUCCGAGAAAUAAUUUCAAUCGUGAGUGGUAAAGCAAAACCCUAUGUCCUGACUCAAAAUGCUUGUGGGUAAUGGACUUGUCAUGGACAAGCUUCGUUUUCUCCUUGUAAAUUCUCGAGUUUUCAUAAGAGUCAUUUUUCAAUUCUUCCAACUCUUGAAGUUGAAGCUUCUUAUGCCUUCCCGCCUCAUCAAUGUUGAAGUUGCAUUGCUUGACCACCCAAAUGCACGGUGUUCCAAUUCCACAGGAAGAUGACAUGGUUUUCCAAAAACUAAUCUAAAUGGAGACAUUCCUAUCAGGGUCUUGUUGAUGGGGUUUGAGCAUUCUAACACUUCCUAAGUGUACAUGGAACCCUAAUAACCUUGGAUCUAUGUUUGUCUAAUUAUCAUGCAAAUUUAAAUUCCAAGGUUAUAUUCCUAUCUAGCAUACAUGGGGAACAAUUUUAACUUGAAUGAAAGAUUGAAUAACUUACCUUGUUGUUGCUUAUGAUCCUUGAAACCUUGUGAGCCUAGCACCCCAAGUGUGGUGCCUCAAAUGCUUCACACAACACCAAAUGCUCUUGGAAAGACUUUGAGAGAAUACACACUUCUUAAAAUCUGCCUAGCCCUCUUGUUUCAUAUGUGUAGCAGAUUUUGGUAGAGAAUGAGAUUCUUAUAUAAUGUUGACACAUCUAGGGUUACACCAUGUAAACCCUAAUGUGUCAUGACUCUUCAUUUCCAUGACCCAUGGGUUUGUAACUCCCAUGGAGCAUCCUAUGGGUGGAACCCAACUUGAUAAUCCAUGGAGCCUCUUAGCCCACUAUACAAGAUAUGAAUGAUUUACAUAAUCAACCCAUAUAUUUAAUUAGUUAUCUUUUGAUCACUUAAUUAAUUCUAAAUUAAUUCUUGAUCAAACUAAUUAAAUAAUAUUAUUAAUAUAUUAGAACUUAUAAUAUAUUAAUAAUCUCCAAGUGUUAUUUCUCUCAUUUAGUCUAUCCAAUUGCAUGGUGCCAUGCAACCCAAAUGGACCAUGCCGGGUCGGGUCAAGUACUGACCAGAAAUAGUUAUGGACUUAGACACCUUAUCCAACANNNNNNNNNNNNNNNNNNNNNNNNNNNNNNNNNNNNNNNNNNNNNNNNNNNNNNNNNNNNNNNNNNNNNNNNNNNNNNNNNNNNNNNNNNNNNNNNNNNNNNNNNNNNNNNNNNNNNNNNNNNNNNNNNNNNNNNNNNNNNNNNNNNNNNNNNNNNNNNNNNNNNNNNNNNNNNNNNNNNNNNNNNNNNNNNNNNNNNNNNNNNNNNNNNNNNNNNNNNNNNNNNNNNNNNNNNNNNNNNNNNNNNNNNNNNNNNNNNNNNNNNNNNNNNNNNNNNNNNNNNNNNNNNNNNNNNNNNNNNNNNNNNNNNNNNNNNNNNNNNNNNNNNNNNNNNNNNNNNNNNNNNNNNNNNNNNNNNNNNNNNNNNNNNNNNNNNNNNNNNNNNNNNNNNNNNNNNNNNNNNNNNNNNNNNNNNNNNNNNNNNNNNNNNNNNNNNNNNNNNNNNNNNNNNNNNNNNNNNNNNNNNNNNNNNNNNNNNNNNNNNNNNNNNNNNNNNNNNNNNNNNNNNNNNNNNNNNNNNNNNNNNNNNNNNNNNNNNNNNNNNNNNNNNNNNNNNNNNNNNNNNNNNNNNNNNNNNNNNNNNNNNNNNNNNNNNNNNNNNNNNNNNNNNNNNNNNNNNNNNNNNNNNNNNNNNNNNNNNNNNNNNNNNNNNNNNNNNNNNNNNNNNNNNNNNNNNNNNNNNNNNNNNNNNNNNNNNNNNNNNNNNNNNNNNNNNNNNNNNNNNNNNNNNNNNNNNNNNNNNNNNNNNNNNNNNNNNNNNNNNNNNNNNNNNNNNNNNNNNNNNNNNNNNNNNNNNNNNNNNNNNNNNNCCCAAAUGCACGGUGUUCCAAUUCCACAGGAAGAUGACAUGGUUUUCCAAAAACUAAUCUAAAUGGAGACAUUCCUAUCAGGGUCUUGUUGAUGGGGUUUGAGCAUUCUAACACUUCCUAAGUGUACAUGGAACCCUAAUAACCUUGGAUCUAUGUUUGUCUAAUUAUCAUGCAAAUUUAAAUUCCAAGGUUAUAUUCCUAUCUAGCAUACAUGGGGAACAAUUUUAACUUGAAUGAAAGAUUGAAUAACUUACCUUGUUGUUGCUUAUGAUCCUUGAAACCUUGUGAGCCUAGCACCCCAAGUGUGGUGCCUCAAAUGCUUCACACAACACCAAAUGCUCUUGGAAAGACUUUGAGAGAAUACACACUUCUUAAAAUCUGCCUAGCCCUCUAGUUUCUUAUGUGUAGCCGAUUUUGUAGAGAAUGGGAUUCUUAUAUAGUGUUGACACAUCUAGGGUUACACCAUGUAAACCCUAAUGUGUCAUGACUCUUCAUUUCCAUGACCCAUGGGUUUGUAACUCUCAUGGAGCAUCCUAUGGGUAGAUCCCAACUUGAUAAUCCAUAGAGCCUCUUAGCCCACUAUACAAGAUAUGAAUGAUUUACAUAAUCAACCCAUAUAUUUAAUUAGUUAUCUUUUGAUCACUUAAUUAAUUCUAAAUUAAUUCUUGAUCAAACUAAUUAAAUAAUAUUAUUAAUAUAUUAGAACUUAUAAUAUAUUAAUAAUCUCCAAGUGUUAUUUCUCUCAUUUAGUCUAUCCAAUUGCAUGGUGCCAUGCAACCCAAAUGGACCAUGNNNNNNNNNNNNNNNNNNNNNNNNNNNNNNNNNNNNNNNNNNNNNNNNNNNNNNNNNNNNNNNNNNNNNNNNNNNNNNNNNNNNNNNNNNNNNNNNNNNNNNNNNNNNNNNNNNNNNNNNNNNNNNNNNNNNNNNNNNNNNNNNNNNNNNNNNNNNNNNNNNNNNNNNNNNNNNNNNNNNNNNNNNNNNNNNNNNNNNNNNNNNNNNNNNNNNNNNNNNNNNNNNNNNNNNNNNNNNNNNNNNNNNNNNNNNNNNNNNNNNNNNNNNNNNNNNNNNNNNNNNNNNNNNNNNNNNNNNNNNNNNNNNNNNNNNNNNNNNNNNNNNNNNNNNNNNNNNNNNNNNNNNNNNNNNNNNNNNNNNNNNNNNNNNNNNNNNNNNNNNNNNNNNNNNNNNNNNNNNNNNNNNNNNNNNNNNNNNNNNNNNNNNNNNNNNNNNNNNNNNNNNNNNNNNNNNNNNNNNNNNNNNUUAUCCAAGUAGGUACUCUGACUAAGUCCAAUUAGUCUUUUACUCCGAUCUCUCAAGAUCCUUAUCCCUAGAAUAUAGGCAGCUUCACCAAGGUCCUUCAUAGCGAAACACUUCCCAAGCCAGGACUUUACUUCCUGCAGGGUUGGAAUGUCGUUUCCUAUGAGUAGUAUGUCAUCCACAUACAAUACCAAAAAGCUAACUAUACUCCCACUAGCCUUGACAUACACACAAGAUUCAUCUUCACUCCUAGAAAAGCCAAAUUCCUUGACCUUUUCAUCAAAGCAAAGAUUCCAUCUGCGAGGUGCUUGCUUCAAUCCAUAAAUGGAUUUCUCAAGCUUACACACUCUAUUAGGGUACUCGUUGCUGACAAAACCCUCUGGCUGACUCAUGUAAACAUCUUCAGCCAACUUUCCAUUAAGGAAAGCGGUUUUGACAUCCAUUUGCCAUAUUUCAUAGUCAUGAAAUGCAGCUAUGGCCAACAGAACCCGAAUAGACUUAAUCUUGGCUACUGGAGAAAAGGUCUCAUCAUAGUCCACUCUAGGAAUUUGAGAGAAGCCCUUUGCAACCAGUCUAGCCUUAUAAGUGUGUACUUUACCAUCCAUGUCGGUCUUCUUCUUGAAGACCCAUUUGCACCCUACUGUCUUACGACCUGGUACAUUCUCAACCAAGUUCCAAACUUGAUUGUCAUACAUGGACUGUAUUUCGCUGUCCAUUGCCUCUUUCCACUUGGCUGACUCAGGGCCUGCCAUGGCUUCCGUGUAACUGUUAGGUUUAUCUAGACCUAUCAGUGUCUCAUCAUUGAUAAGUGUAUCACCUUCUGCAGUAAUAUGGAAUCCAUAGUAAUGCUCAGGAGCAUUCCUAACCCUUGUGGAACACCUCAGAGGUACAGACUUGUUAAUUGGCUCAACAGGAGUUUCCUCCUCAAGUUGAGUGCUAAGGUUUGAAGUUCCUUCACCAUUUGACUCUUGAAUUUCUUCAAGAUUAACUUGCCUCCCACUAUUUCCUUGGCUUAUGAACUCUCUCUCUCUCUAAAGAAAGCCCUCCUAGCUACAAAGACCACAUUUUCACUAGGUCUGUAGAAGAGGUAACCAAAGGAUUGUUGUGGGUAGCCGAUGAAAAUACACCUCUCGCUUCGGGGUUCGAGCUUAUCAUGAGUCUCGCGUCUCACGAAAGCCUCGCAACCCCAAAUCUUGAUGUGGUCUAGUUUGGGUACUUUACCAGUCCACAUCUCGUGAGGAGUUUUGGCAACUUUCUUUGUAGGGACUAGAUUAAGGAUAUGGGCGGCAGUCUCUAAGGCAUACCCCCANNNNNNNNNNNNNNNNNNNNNNNUUAUUCAAAUCUAAACUAAACCCACUACUUAGCGAUAAAGUAUAAACUCCAAUCUUGGUAACAGGUAAAGCUUUCCUAUUCCCCAUGAUCAAGUUUAUCCUUCCUUGCUCCACAUCCUCACUUCUUCUUAGUCCCUGCAAGUCACAACAAAUAUGAAUACCACACCCGGUAUCAAGGACCCAAGAAUUAGAAUGGGGUGAGUUAUUAGAAAUGAUAGUGUAAAUACCUGCAUGGUUGGGUUUAACUUUCCCAUCCUUCACAUCUUGCUGGUAUUUUGGGCAGUUCCGCUUCCAAUGUGAUUUUUCAUGGCAAUAGAAGCAUUCAGCCUCUUUUGGGUCAGAAGAAGGAGUGAUGAAACCUUUCUUGGUUCCACUUGAAGAAGAGCCAUCAAGGGUCCGAGCCUUGGUACCCUUCGAAGAGCUCUUUCUUUUCUUCCCUCGACUUUUCCCGAUUGCCAAAACCGGAGUAGAGUUUGGAGUAGGAGUGUUAACAACCGACUUCCCCUUAAGACCUGUUUCUGCGGUCUUGAGAAGUCCCUGAAGUUUGCUGAGUGUGACCUCUUCCUUAUUCAUGUGAUAUGUCAUGCGGAAUUGAUCAUAGCACGAUGGUAAGGAGUGCAAAAUGAUAUCUAUUGCAAGCUCCUCAGGGAAGUUUACAUUAAGCUUCAGCAAUUGAUCCACAUACCUUUACAUUUUCUGCAUGUAGCUCAUGACAGAUUCCCCGUCCUUCAUCAUGGUUGUUAUCAUGGAGCAGAUGAUUUCAUACCUCUCUUGUCGUGCACUUUGAUGGUAUCUUUCCAUCAGAUCUUGGUGCAUUUCAUAAGGGUAGAAAUCCUCAUAGGACUUUUGGAGUUCCGCUGUCAUCGUGGCCAUCAUGAUGCAUGCCACUUUAGUAGCAUCCCUUUCAUGUGCCUAAAAGUCAGCAAUCUCCUGGGGAGUUGCAGUGGUCUCAUUAAUCUCCUUAAGCUCCUUAUCCAGGAGAUAUUCUUUUUCCUCGUAGCGGGUAAUCAUCCUGAUGUUUCUGAUCCACUCAUUGAAGUUGGAUCCAUCAAAAGUGACUUUCCCACACAAGUUCAUAAGGGUAAAGGAGCCAUUAGGAUUAGAGCCAGAAGCAUUGUUGAAAGACAUCUGAAGNNNNNNNNNNNNNNNNNNNNNNNNNNNNNNNNNNNNNNNNNNNNNNNNNNNNNNNNNNNNNNNNNNNNNNNNNNNUGUCACACCCCAAAACCACGAACGGCGGAAACGUUCAGGGGUGGAGGACGUCAUGUACAGUAUCACAACAGUGUAAUAUAAUAAACAAGCAACAACAUCAUCCAUUGCAUUAUAAGUAAAGUUUUAAUACAUGUGUGUUCUUUCAUUGUAGUAAGACACCAAAAAUAUACAAUCAAAAUAAAAGACGAGACUUGUCUGCUCCGUCUUCUCAAAACCUGGCCAUCGUACCUGUCUACUGCUGACCUGAGAAUACAAGUUAUUUUGAAAGCGAGUAUCAGCUUUAAAGCUGGUGAAUUCAUAAGAAAUUAAGUGUCGUUGUCUUGCUUAUGAAAAUCUGCUAUGAAGGCCAUGUAAACCUUUAAAUGAAAAUGUUGAGGUAAGUAUGAAAUCCCUAGAAAAACCCUUAUUUUCUAUAAGUAUGAAAUGUAGUCUUCUACCAAGACCCGAAUGUUUUGUUAUGACAAUGUAGUCUUCUACCAAGACCCGAAUGUUUUGUAAGUAAAAUGAUAGUUUUCCUUUGGUUGAUUAGUACUAAAGUACUUAGUCUAACUCAUCGUUUAUGUGAAGGUAUCACAAAAUAAAGUAAACAGGAAAAAUCACUAAUGUAAGUGUUAUCCCGAGGUACUAGGGCUAACACGAGGAAUAUAACUGUUAUCCCGAGGUACUAGGGCUAACAUAACAUAUAUAACCUAAUGAACAUCUGAAGAUUGUCCACUUUUCCUCUGUAGCAGCAGCAGGGCGGAGGAAUGGUUAGUCCCUGUAAAGGUACUCCUAGUAUAAGUAAUAACCGUAGGCAUCCGUAGAUGUUCAUCACCCACUGUUGCUAACAGAUGAGUUCCGGAAUGGUUAGUCCCGUACGUAUAUCCCGAGGUACUAGGGAUAGAGGCCCAUCUAUGUAUCCCGAGGUACUAGGGAUAGGGUCCUGUCUAGAUAUCCCGAGGUACUAGGGAUAUGCAGGAAGAUUUACACAGAAGGUACUAAUAAAUCAUCCUCGCAAUUCGAGAUACAAGUAUUCAUGUUAAUGUACACAGUUAAGUGUAUCUACGUAAAGGUACUCAUGUAAUGCGUUCAUGUAAGCGUGUUCAUGUAUCAUGUAAGUAUAUGUAAACGUACUCAUGUAUCAUGUAAUCAAAUGUAAAGGUACUCAUGUAUCAGGUAAUGUACUGGUAUAGACUCAUGAAUGAACUGACUCUUGUGUGAUUCCUUGUAAUAGGAAUUAUGUUUGAAAUCUCCAAAUUAUCCCUAUGAUAAUUUACUGGAAGGUAAUUGGUUGUUCAAGUAGGUUUAUACACUCUUAUUACUCAAGAGUGUGAAAAACUAAAUGAAAGUUGUAAACUAUAACAUCAAUACAUAUAUAAGAAUAUAAGUGUACAUGCAUUAGUUCAAGAGUGUAAAAAUGGUUUUGUAAGACAUCUUAUGGAUUUUGAACAAUAAUUAACAAUGACUUGAUGUCAUUUUAAUAUACAUUUCAAAGGUAAAACAUUUGAUAACAAUGUGUUUUUAAGAUUUAAAAACCUUUCAUGCAUCACAUUUUGUAGUAUGUGAAAUCUGUUAAAUGACAAACACAGUUAUAAAAUACAUAUCAAUGAUUUAAUAACAUGUUUGUUUCUACUUGUAUUCCCCCCUUUUAAGCAUUUAAAAUCAUUUAAAACAUUGAUUAGGGGUAUGAACUCACCUGUAGUUGGUGAUUGGGAUGAACUGAACGGUAUAGGAUGGCUAGGUGUCAAGCGAGGACUUGUACACACACUACGAUCCUAAUGAACAUAUAAUCACACAUAUAUGCACUCAAUUAGUCUUAAGUUACUAAUUGAUAAAGCUAAGACAUCCUAGACAUAAUAAACACUUUAUAUAAGUGUUUUAAGCCCUAAGGAUUGCAUCUAAGCUAUUGUGGGACAAGGUACUUGUGUUUAGGGUUCCAAAGGACCCUAUAUGUGAGUUUACUCCUCAUAUACUAACACACAUGGAGUUUACGGUUGUAAACUCUUGAGUUUACGGCCGUAAACUCCCAACCAUGGGGGUUUUGUGUGUUUUGAAGUUCCAAAUGAUUCCUAGAAUUAUUCCAACUUGGUGGUUAAAUUCUUGGAAGGGUUUAAGGUCUAGAAACACUCCAUUUAGGAGUUUACGGCCCUAAGGCCAUUUCCUUUGGAGUUUACGGCCGUAAACUCCCUUGGAAUGGUGUUCUUGUUGUUUUCAAGUCUCAAGCAUAGGUGGUAUAAGUUCUAGGCUUUUAUUCCAAGCAUAUGAAGACAUUAGGCACACUUUGGUGCCAUUCUUUCAUGUUUACGGCCCAAGAACAAAGUCUUGGCCGUAAACUCACUUUGAUAAGUGAUUUUGAUGUGCUUAAGGCCUUAGAUUAAAUGGGAACUAGUCUUGAUAAAAGUCUUAAAGCUUUAGGUGCCUUAAAACACCAUUUUGAGUUUGAAAAGGGAGUUUACGGCCUAAGAAACUCUUGGGCCGUGAACUCCCAAACUUGGGUGAUUCUUGGUUGUUUUCUUGUCCCUAACACACAUACAUAUGAGUCUAAAGCAGUUGCAUAACACUAGGGUCGGUCUCGGCUUUGUUUCGGGAGUUUACCGCCCAAGAACACCUUGGGGAGUAAACUCCUAGAUCUAGUGAUUUAGCCUUCUAAAUCAUGUUAUAAACACAUAAUAAGCAUUAUAACACUACUAGAAAGAGUUACUCAUGUUUUGGUAUAAAAACCCGAAGAUCCGUGAGAGAGAAAAUGGCUUUUCUCUAGUUGGAAAUGUGAAUAAUGAAUGAAUUUGGUUCAGAAAUCUAUUUAUAGUCCUGAGAUAUUUUUGGCAGAAAAUAUUUUUAUUCCUGAAAUGAUCUCUAAUAUAAUAGAGUGUUGGAAUAACAGUGUUGCACAAAACCCUAGUGCACCCACUCUCCUGAUAUUUCCUGAAGUGUAAACCCUGAAUUACUCAAACUUACGCGAAAAAUCUGAAAAUUAACUGUGACUGCUAUAACUUCUAUUGAAGUGAUAUAGUUUGUACAGAAUGGAAAUUUCNAAAAUGAAGACUCUUCAUUUUUCUAACUCUUGUGUUCUUUUAAUGGUUUUAACUCAAGUGACUUUUGGUUUUCCAUAACUUGAGGACAAGUUAUGGACUCCAUUAAAACACAUUAUGAUAAAGAAUUAAUCUACCACAUAGGUUACAAACAAUUCCUAUGAUCAUCUAAACAUCAUAAGAUCAAGAACAUGAACAUGAACACUAUCAUGAAUCAAAAUUACAAUUAAAAAUUUGUAACUUUGAUAACUAGUUGUUGUAAAUGGAUUAGGAAACACAUUACUCCAUCUAAAAUCAGUUUUCAAGUACCAAAACAUUUUACGGUAAUGUUUCUAGUCCAUUUCCAGCAAGUAAAGUCGAAAAUCUGCAUUCUGAGGCUCCAACUCGCCGAGUGCAUGAACCUACUCGGCGAGUAGGUUGAAGAUACAAGUGAACUCGACGAGUCCCCCCAUGGACUCGGCGAGUUCAUCAGGCAGACAACAAGCUUUUCGACUUUUUUCAACUUUUUAGCACAAAUAACAAACAAACAAGCCUAGGCUCUGAUACCACUGAUGGGUUUUGAGCAUUCUAACACUUCCUAAGUGUACAUGCAACCCUAAUAACCUUGGAUCUAUGUUUGUCUAAUUAUCAUGCAAAGUUGAAUUCCAAGGUUAUAUUCCUAUCUAGCAUACAUGGGGAACAAUUUUUAACUUGAAUGAAAGAUAGAAUAACUUACCUUGUUGUUGCUUAUGUUCCUUGAAACCUUGUGAGCCUAGCACCCCAAGUGUGAUGCCUCAAAUGCUUCACACAACACCAAAUGCUCUUGGAAAGACUUUUGAGAGAAUACACACUUCUUGAAAUCGGCCUAGCCCUCUUGUUUCAUAUGUGUAGCCGAUUUUGGUGGAGAAUGGGACUCUUAUAUAGUGUUGACACAUCUAGGGUUACACCAUGUAAACCCUAAUGUGUCAUGACUCUUCAUUUCCAUGACCCAUGGGUUUGUAACUCCCAUGGAGCAUCCUAUGGGUGGAACCCAACUUGAUAAUCCAUGGAGCCUCUUAGCCCACUAUACAAGAUAUGAAUGAUUUACAUAAUCAACCCAUAUAUUUAAUUAGUUAUCUUUUGAUCACUAAAUUAAUUCUUGAUCAAACUAAUUAAAUAAUAUUAUUAAUAUAUUAGAACUUAUAAUAUAUUAAUAAUCUCCAAGUGUUAUUUCUCUCAUUUAGUCUAUCCAAUUGCAUGGUGCCAUGCAACCCAAAUGGACCAUGUCGGGUCGGGUCAAGUACUGACCAGAAAUAGUUAUGGACUUAGACACCUUAUCCAACACUUGUAAGCGGUCAGAUAGGCCCACAAGGCAUCAUCAAGCCUCGAACUCCAAUCCUCUCUUGUUAGGUUCACAGUUUUCUCAAGAAUACUCUUCACCUCACAAUUCAAAACCUCCGCUUGGCCAUUCAUUUGAGGGUGGUAGGCGGUAGAGACACGAUGGGUCACAUUGUACUUUUUUAGCAAGGCCUCCAUCACCUUAUUGCAAAAAUGCGUCCCUCGACCACUAAUCAAAGCCCUAGGAACACCAAAUCUCACAAAGACAUUAGAUUUUAAAAAGUCGAUAACCGUUUUGACAUCAUCCGAUCAUGUGGCUUUGGCCUCAACCCAUUUAGAAGCAUAGUCAACCACGAGCAAGAUAUAAAAGUUGCCAAAUGAGACGGGAAAUGGACCCAUAAAAUCAAUCCCCCAUACAUCAAAAUUUUCACAAACAAGGAUUGGAUUUUGUGGCAUUUGGUUCUUUUGCGAAAUGUUGCCCGUCCUUUGGCACCAUUCAUAACUUUUGCAAAACAAGUAACAGUCGUGUGACAUGGUUGGCCAAAAUAGUCCACACUCAAGGACCUUUCUCAAGGUCCGGCUAGGUCCAAAAUGUCCCCCACAAGCAAAUUCAUGAUAGUCCACACUCAAGGACCUUUCUCAAGGUCAGGCUAGGUCUGAAAUGUCCCCCACAAGCAAAUUCAUGACAAAAUUGUAAAAUGGAUUGAUGCUCUUUCUGGGGCAGACAUCGCCUAAUAAUUUGAUCGGUACAAUGUUUCCAAAAAUAAGGUUCAUCCCACACAUAAUAUUUUGCAUCAUUUUUCAAUUCGUCUUUUUAAGCACGUGUGAAUGUGUUGGGAUACCUUUCCAUGACCAAAAAGGUAACGAUAUCGACAUACCAAGGAGUAGAUUGAGUAAGGGAAAAGAGAUGCUCAUCCGGAAACUCGUCCCGCAACGGGAGAGGAGUCUCAUUUGAAGUGAUCCGGAUUAGGUGAUCGGCAACAAGAUCUCGCAUCCACUCUUGUCCCGGAUUUCCAAAUCAAAUUUUUGUAAUAGUAAAAUCCACCGGAUGAGUCUUGGCUUUUCAUCUUUCUUUGUCAUUAAGCACUUGAGAGCUGCGUGCUCCGAAUACACAAUAACUUUGGUGCCAAGUAGAUAUUGCCUAAACUUCUCCAAAGAGAACACUAUGGCCAAUAGCUCCUUCUCCGUGAUAGAGUAGUUGCUUUGUGCAUUGUCUAGUGUCCUCGAUGCAUAGUAGAUCACAUGGGAGGCUCUUCCAUUCUUUUGACCCAAAACGGCUCCUAUUGCAUAGUUGCUUGCAUCACACAUGAUCUCAAAGGGGAGAUCCUAAUUUGGUGCUUGCAUGAUGGGAAUGGAUGUAAGCAACUCUUUGAGCUUGUCGAAAGCUUCUUUGCACGCCUCAUUGAACUCGAAAUAAACAUCCUUUUACAAGAGUUGGCACAUUGGUCUUGUUAUCUUUGAAAAGUCCUUGAUGAAUCUCCGGUAGAAACCUGCAUGGCCCAAAAACGAACGAACCUCCCGAACACAAGUCGGGUAAGGUAAGCUUUGAAUAACAUCAAUCUUGGCCUUAUCUACUUGAAUUCCUUUAUUUGACACAUGUGACCCAAAAUAAGAGCUUGACUCACCAUAAAAUGACAUUUUUCAAAGUUUAAAACCAAAUUCGUUUCAAUACAUCUUUGCAAAAUUUUGGUGAGAUUGGUCAAACACUCUUGAAAGGAGUUUUCGUAUACCGUAAAAUCGUCCAUGAAAUCUUCAAUUAUAUUUACAACAUAUUCCGAAAAGAUACUAACCAUGCAACAUUGGAAAGUGGUCGGGAUGUUACACAAUCCGAAUGAUAGUCUCUGGUAUGCAAAAGUGUCAAAUGGACAUGUAAAGGUUGACUUUUCUUGGUCUUCCGGUGCCACCGGGAUUUGGUGAAAAUUGGAGUACCCGUCUAGACAACAAUAAUGAGAUUUUCCGGCCAACCUUUCUAACAUUUGGUCAAUGAAAGGUAAUGGAAAAUGAUAUUUUCUUGUGCUUGCAUUGAGUUUGCGGUAGUCAAUACAUACUCUCCACUUGUUUUACACGCGGGUGGGGACCAUCAUACCUUUGUUGUUCUCAACCACCAUGAUCCCCGUCUUCUUCGAUACUACUUGCACCGGGCUCACCCAUUUGCUAUCCAAGAUUGGAUAGAUCAUUCCCGUAUCUAGGAGCUUCAAAAUCUCUUUCUUGACCACUUCCAUCAUUGGCGGAUUCAACCUUCUUUGCGUGUCUCGACUCGGCUUGCAUUCAUCAUCCAUCAAGAUCUUGUGCAUACAAGUGAAGGUGCUCAAUCCUUUAAUAUUCACAAUCGUCCAUCCCAUGGCUUCUUUAUGUUCCUUCAACACCUUGAGGAGUUUCUCUUCUUCAAAUUCGGUUAGAUGGGUCGAUAUGAUAACCGAAAGUGUCUCAUUUUUGCCCAACUAAGUAUACUUCAAGUGUUGAGGAAGGACCUUUAGUUCCAAUUUUGAUGGUUGGACAAGGGAGGGCGGCAAUCUUGUGUGAGUCUGAGGUAAUUCAAUUUUAUUCACACUAAAUUGAGUGGUUUUCUUGAUCUCUAAAUUGUUAACCAAUCUUUCAACUUUCGGAUCUUAUGAGUAGAGCUUUAACUUCUUGGCUAAUUUACCAUAAUCAAAUCCUUUGCUCAAUAACAUCUCCAACAUGUCACCCUUAGACAACUCGAACAACUCUUGGGUUAAUGGUUUGACAACAUCAAUAAAGCACAAGGUGGAAACAUCACUAGGACAUCUCAUAGCAUCAUAAAUGUUAAAACUUAUUGUUUCGCCAUCAAACUCCAUUGUUAAGCUUCCUACAUACAUAUAAAUCUUUGUUCUAGCCAUCUUCAAGAAUGGUCUCCCAAGUAAAAUUAUACCCGACUUUGAGGACACUUGUUCAUCUAGAUCAAUCACAUAGAAAUCCGCCAGGAAGACCAUUGGUUCACUUGCACUAGGACAUCUUCCAAAACACCUCUAGGAAAGACACUUGUUUUAUCCGCAAGAGAGAUUAUGACACCGGUUUCACUUAAAGGACCAACAUUCAAUGAUUCAUACACCGAAUAGGGCAUGACAUUAAUAGAAGCACCAAUGUCAAGCAUGGAACUACUAAAAGUGACAUCUCCAAUCUUGUAAGGAACCGUAAACAUUCCUGGAUCUUUGCACUUAGGUGGAAGCUUCCUUUGUAAAACUGCGGGUGCAUUUUCGUUCAUUGAGAUUUUCUCAUUUCCCUUCAACUUUCUCUUGUUGGUGCAAAGCUCUUUCAAGAAUUUUGCAUAUCUAGGAAUUUGUUUGAUUGCAUCGAGUAAAGGAAUGUUUAAUUCCACCUUUUAGAAGGUGUCCAUAAUUUCUUUCUCCACCAUGUUCUUCUUUGAAGCUACAAGUCGGGAGGGGAAUGGCAGUUGAGUGGCUAUUGGAGUCACUAGAGGGGUAGUCUUCUUUGGGACUCCAGCUUGUGCAUCAUUCUUAACUAUAGAUUCUUCAAUGGGAAUGACUUAUAUUUGUUCCUCUUCAUCCCUUGGCUUCUUCUUUGAACUACUUUCUCCAGUUUCUUUGCCACUUCUCAAGGUCACCACAUUGACAUUUGGGUUCUUUUCUGUUUGAGAAGGGAGUUUACCACGGGACUCCAACUUGCUUAUGGAUGUAACUAUAUCUCCCAUUUGUGCUUCAAGGUUAGAGAUACUAGUCCUUGUCUCUUUUUGGAAUUGUUGGGUACUAGUGGCUAGGAUUUGACAGUGUCUUCAAGGGACAUUCCGGAACUACUUGGUUGGGAUUGAGGAGGUUGUUGGUGUUGUGGAGGGUGUGGUUUGGAUUGAUAGUGUGGUUGCGGGUGUUGGUAGUGAGGUUUUGGUGGUGGAUAGGAAGGUCUAACCAAUGCAUUUUGAGGCAAUGGUCUUGGGUUGAAGCUCAUGUUGGGAUUUGGCUUCCAACUUGAAUUAUUUGCAUUUUGGUAACAGGAUGGAUUGGUGUGGUAGUUUUGGAACUCUCCCGUGGUAUUUACAUGUUCCGCAUCUUCUUGAAGAAUGGGACACAUAUCCGUACGAUGUUCCAUUGUUGCACAUAUUCCACAAACCAUCACUUGUGGAGUUUGUCCCAUGGCUAGCUUUUGGACAACGAAGGUUAGAUCUUUGAUUUGAGACUCUAGGUUUGAUGUUCCCACUUCAUUGAUUUUUUGUUGAGUUUCUCUCUUCAUAUCUUGGCGAGGGCCAAAAUGUUGUGAAUUUGCGGUUAUGGUGUUGAAGAGUUGUGUUGUGUGUUGUGGUGUUUUGCUAAAGACAUCUCCACCACUUGAGGCAUCAACUAGUUUUCUCUCCAUUGGUAGCAAUCCCUCAUAGAAGUGUUGAAUGAGGAGUUGUUCCGAAAUUUGGUGUUGUGGGCAACUAUAACACAAGUUGUUGAACCUCUCCCAAUAAUCAUGAAAAGUCUCAUUUUGACCUUGGCGGAUUCCACAAAUCUCAUUUCUAAGACUUGAGACUCUUGAAGCGGGAUAGAACUUGUCAAGAAAAUCUCUUGCUAUAUCGGUCCAUGAGUUGAUUGACCCCAUUGGAAGAUAGAAUAACCAAUCAUUUGCUCUAUCGGCCAAUGAAAAGGGGAAUGCCCUUAGCUUAAUUUGGUCAUCGGUUGACCCUUGUGGCUUCAUACUAGUGCAAAUAAUGUGGAACAUCUUCAAGUGCUUAUGAGGGUCUUUAUUCUCCAAUCCAUGAAAAGUUGGGAGGUGAUGUACUAAACUUCACUUCAACUCCAAUCCUCCUUCCAAAACCGAGUAAUUGAAAUCGGUUGGAGUUUGUGUGACAUCGAUUUCCAUCAUUUGCCUCAAAGUUCUCUCGGUAACUUCUCCUCCGUCCGCCAUCGCAAUUAGUUCAAUAAUGGGUGGAUUUUGUUGUAGAGGUGGUGCUUCAGGAAUUUAUUGGCGAGGGUUAGGACUAGAAUCGGGUUCUGUAUCGCUUGAUGAAGCGGGUUCAACCUCCGGAUCCCCGUGACGAUUAGAAGUUUGACCAUGUUCAACUCACUAUUCCUUCGCCAAACGCCUUGCUUCUUUUUCAAUUUCCGGAUUGUAAAUCAAGUCACAUGUACGCUGAGAUCUGGGCAUAGAGAAACAAAUUGAUAAAAAAAUAAACCAAUCCCCGGCAACGGUGCCAAAAUUUGGUGGUUGUCGAGGUCAACAAAAUUAAUACCCUAAAUAUUACACACUAAAAAUUGUGUAUAGUGGUAAAGGGAUCGUAUCCACGGAGAUUAGUUCAAUUAAAUCUCUAUGUAAAUCACUUGCUCAAGUAAUUGUAAAACAAAAGUAAAAGUAACAUGGGGGGUUUAAUUCUUUUUUAUUGUUUGACAAAAUUAAAACUAGCUAGAAUGUAAAUAUGACAAGUAAACAAGUAAAAGAUUUGAUUAAAUUCAAUGAAGUGAAAUUUGUUGAUUUUAGGAUAUACCACAUGGAUGACAUAGUUGACUUAUCAUUAGACUAAAAGGAACAACACUUGUAAAUUGGUUUAACUUGGUUAUAGCAAUUCAUAAGCACAAAUUACCUCAACUCUUCUUAGAUAUUAAAAUGGUUAGAGGAUCUCUAACACAUUCCCUUAAUUAAAGUCACAAAAUCAAUGAAUCAUAUAAUCUUGUGAAAAUCAAUUAGCUUAGUUCUAAGAGUUACCAAAUCCAUAAGAUAAUCAAAUGCUUACAUUAUCAUUAUGGAGGAAACAUUCCCAUGGUCUAAAUGAAAUGAAAACAAACAUAUAAACCAUUUGUUGCUUACUAAUUUGAGGGUCCAUUACAUAAACAAGAAAUUAGUCAAAAAUAAAUAAAUAUUUAUUCUUCUAAGCUCAUGAUCAAAGAUAAACAAACAUAACAAGAUGUUUAGCUAGAAAACAUUCCCAUAAACUUCAACACAAGAUAACAUUUAGUCUUCAAAGCAACCAAUCAUCCAUGGGAUUAAACCCUAAUCAACCAAAUGAGUAUUUAGCCAAGCAUGGCCAAAGUAAAAGAAAUACAAGAAAGUUUAGAAAUACCAAACAUUGUUCUAAGUGCAAGAUGGAAAGAAAUAACACCAAUGUUCAAAUUCUUCAAAUUCUUCCAAAGUGUUAUUGAGAGAAAAGAGUAGUCUUCUCCAAGUGAUUCCCCUCAAAAAUGCUUCAAAUCUCCAGCAAAAAGGCUUCAUUUCUGGAUUCAAAAAGUUCCCAAAAGCUACCCACCAGCCUUCCAAAAAUAGAGUCAACAAGUCAAAACCGGGGUUCACAUCAGCACCAUUCACGCGGACCGCGUAGGGAUCCACGCAGACCGUGUGGGUCUCGCUGAUUGCAUGCCUUGACCCAUUAAAAAGUACAAUCCAACCCAAUCUUUUAAUUUAUGCUCCAGCCCACAUGCACAACUCUUGGGAGCCCAAUUUGUUGGAUUAGUGUCUAAGCCCGUAACCAUAUUUGGUAAGUACUUGACCCAGUUGUGCAUGGUCCUUUUGGGUUGCCUUCACCAAAGCAACUUGACUGGAGAAAUAAAUAGAGAGAGAGGUUAUUAUGAUUUAUUAAUAUAUUAUAAGAAUAAUAUAUUAAAGGAGAAAUCAUAUUUGUUUAAUUAAUAUUGGUCAAUAAUUAAUUAAGAAUUAAUUUUGUGAUCAAGUGUAAUUAAUUAAACUAGAGGGCUAAAUUGUAAUUAUGUGAUAGUUCCAAAAUAGGGCAAUGGGUAUCCUAGUUGCAGGAUGGACGAAUUCAAGGGAUAAGAUAUCCUUGAAAUCGUCCAAAGGUCCAAGGGAUAAGGGUCAUCAAGGCUUAUCUUUUGAUUGCUUGGUGGGCAAGCAACUAGAUAAGGAUAAGGACUGAAACCCUAAUCUCAACCCUAUAUAAAGACCCCUAAGGCAUAAGAAAACGUCCACUUGAUCCCUAGGGUAUCUAGAUCUGAUUUCUACCUCCUCCCUUCUCUCUCUAUAGCCUCUCUAAUUGCUUGUGGUGUUUGUGAGACAUUAGAGGCACUACACUUGUGGUGCUUGCUUUCAAGACUUAGGGUUUGAAGAUUUAACUUGUUAUUGCAAUAUAACAAUAAGAGGUAUGUGAUCUAACCUUCUAUGUGAAUUUCGAAAAUAGUAGGCUGCAUUAGGGUUUUAUUCAUGUGUUCAUAAUGUUGUGUAUCUAAUAGUGAAAACAUAGAUCCAAAUCUAGGGUUGCAUGCACACAUGGGAUUGUUUGUAUAAAACCCAUCACAAUUGUGUUAUUCCAAAGCCUCCAAUGAUGAUCCAAUGCUCCUUCACUCUUCCGUAGCUCGAGUUCUUGUCCAAAGAUUAAGUCCAAAGCGCUUCUUGCUUAUAUUGACACCGAGCCCAAUUGCACCACCUCAAGUUCACAAGCAAUCCAAAAGCCUCCAAAAGUCCCGCACUCCUUCCAUACCUCCAGUAACGAAUAGUCUUCAGUAAAUCCUACAAAAUAAGCUCAAAAGACUGAAAAGCACUCGACAAAGGAAAAAAUAAUAAAAAGAGAAAAUAUGCAUGAAGCUUAACUAAAAUGAGAUGGUUUUAACUAAAAAUAAACUAUGAAAAGAAGUAAUAAAAACGAAACUAUCAGUAUUACAAGUUCGUGGUGAUCCCUUUUGGGCUCACCAAUGCACCGUUAAAUUUCAUGGAUCUCAUAAACCGGGUGUGUAGGCCUGUGUUGGACCACUCUAUCAUUGUCUUCAUCGAUGAUAUAUUGGUCUAUUCGAAGACCAGAACAUCAUGGGGAGAAUUUGCAUGAGAUUCUUAGGGUACUAAUGAUGGAGAGGCUAUACACCAAGUUCUCUAAGUGUGAGUACUGGUUGCGCGAGGUUCAGUUUCUAGGACACCUCAUCAAUCAGAAUGGUAUCUUGGUUGACCCAGCCAAGAUAGAGGCAGUUCUGCGAUGGGAUGUUCCGAAUUCUCCAUCUAAGAUUCAGAGUUUUCUUGGGUUGGCAGAAUAUUAUCGGAGAUUCAUUCAAGACUUCUCUAAGAUUACGGUUCCUCUCACAAAGUUGUCUAGGAAGGAUGUUGUGUUUAGUUGGGGGCCUGAGCACCAGGCAUCGUUUGAGACUCUUCAACAUAGACUUUGUGAGGCGUCGGUACUUGCCCUCCCCGGGGGAGUUAAGGAUGUCAUGGUCUAUUGUGAUGUAUCCAUCUCGGGAUUGGGUGUUGUGUUGAUGCAGAGAGGGCAUGUUAUUUCAUAUGCUUCGAGGCCGCUGAAGCCUCAUGAGGCAAAGUAUCCAACCCAUGAUCUUGAGUUGGGGGCGGUGGUUUUCGUCCUCAAGAUUUGGCACCACUAUCUUUACGGGGUUAAGCAUACUAUCUACACAGACUGUUAGGGUACAAAGUUAUUCAUGGAUUAACUUUGUGAUGACUUGACUUGAGAAGAACCACUUGCACAUGUGGGGUUAGAGCCUUGUGACAUAUGUGUGUGUGUGUGUGUGAGAGAGAGAGAGAGACUUGUUAGGACAUCUAUAAAUAGUGGAUUGCAUUCCACUAAUAAAGUGUUCUUAGAGAUAUAGUUCAUUGAUAUUAGUGAUUGAGAUAUUUAUGUAGAACGAGAUCUAGAUCCUUUUUUGUAACUCAUUGCUAUGAUCGAAUAUAUCUUCUAGCACCCAAAUCACAAUGUUCAUUGUGUUCUUUACAAUUUCGCAUGUCAAAUCAAAAGCUCAUAACUCUAUAAUUGGUAUCAGAGCGAUUCUUUGAAGAUCGAAGUGAUUUUUGAAGAAACGGUUCUUGAUUUUGAUGGCCUAAAGUUUCCCGAGAACCCGAUAACUAAAAGUGGAACAUUAGAUCAAAACUUUUAAUGGCCUAGAUCAAACAAGGCAUAUUUGUAAUUAUUAACAAUUUCAAUGGUAACAUUGACUUUUUACAAUAAAGUACAAGGGUAGUUAAGGGAUAAAAAUUAACAUACAUAAUAAUUAAUCAAAAUUAAUUUUGAAAAUACAAAUCUCUCUCAUCGUCUUUCUCUUUCCCCCAUGUUCAUCUUCAUCCCAGAUUUUGAGAUGAAAUCACUGAAUCUCACCUCUUCAUCCCACAUUUUGAGAUGAAAUCGUCGAAUCUCGUCGUGUUCUUAUUGGCGUCUUCAGUUGCCAGAGUGUAUCACCUCCACCUUUGCUCCUCCAUACACAUGUGAAUCACCAAUUGUAUCAUUGUCAUUGAUUUUCCCUAAAACGCUUGUUAUAUCUCUUAUUGGUUAUCUACCACCGUAUAUCUGGAAUAGAAAUGGUUGUCUUUAGUCGCCGCACCAUUCUCACCAUUGUCUUCAAUCACCAGAGUCUACCAACACCGCAUCUGCUCCUCCACAACCCUGAAUCGUUGAUUUGACCUAAAGCAUAAUCGAUGUCUCUCAUUCCUUACCGAUUGCAGUAGAUUUGGAAUAGAAGUGGCAAAAUUAUCUAAUCAAAGUUGCUUCGUCAAUUCACUCAACUUCAAUCAUUAGGUAUCAUUAAUCCUUACCUACUUGUAUUAUUCGGUUUUUAAUUUGGUAUGAAAUCAAUUCAUCUGUAGAAUUAUCUCUCUUCUUUCAUCUAAACGGAUACUCUUCAGAUUUGGUUGAUUUAACUAAGGUUUCUAUAACAAUGUGUUGAUUUAACUAGGUUUUCUGUAACAUUGUGUGGCUGGAAUUCUUUGAUUCUGAUUCUGAUUCAUUUUCACUUUAAUCAAUGCAUAUAACCGUGGCAUGCCAUCACCAUAAUAUGCAAACCACACCUGGUAAUCUUGAAAUGAAUUUUCCAUUCGAUCUGAAUCAAAAUUGUGAAAGUGAGGUUCAGGAACACUCAUUUCUAACUCUUCAUCAUGUUUAUUUAUUAGGUUCCACUUAUGUUGUUUAUGUCCUGAUUAUGUGGUGUGUUUGUAAUAGAGAGGAAAUGGCAGACUUGAAGUUCGAGAUCUUACAUCUGCUUUGGUUGUUGGUUAGUCGAGCCAGAUAUCUUUUUAUUUUAUUUUAUUAUUAUUCUUUUUUUUGGUCUAUUUGUUUGUAAACUAAGUUACAUGUCAAUUUUGUUCUUGAUUGUUGGAAAAUAUUUAGUUAAUUUAUGGAUUUUUGACAUAAUAGAAUUUGAGAUUUUUAUGAUUUCUCAUAGUUGAACACUCUGCAUAUUUUUAUGAUUUAUUUGUAUUCAAGUUUUCAUAUGUUUACAAAUGAUUUUUGAAUUAAAUGACCAUCCAAGUUAUAAAUACAUCACAAUUUAACCAUACUUCUUAUACUUCUUAUAGAUAUAAACAUAACAAUUAGGUAGAGAACAUCUUAAUUAAAAAGAAUGCUAUCAGAUAUGCCUGAUGUCACAGAAUUGCAUCCUGUACCUGAGGCUCACGUUCCUAUGAUGAAAUUCAAGUUGAAUGGUGUAUCUAUAUAUCUUCUCUAUGCAAAACUUUCACUUUGGGUCAUACCUGAAGUAACUAAACUUUCCUAUCUUUCUUUCAUCUCCAUCUGUUACUGAAAACUAGUUGGUUACUUUACUAAUGAACUCCAUUUUACAGGAUUUGGAUAUUUCUCAAGAUUCAAUACUGUAGAAUGCAGACGAAUAGAUGGUUCGGAGUCUUAAUGGAUGAAGAGUUACCAACCAGAUCAUGCGCUAUAUCUAAAAUGUGAUAAUUUUUAGGUUAGUUAACUUAUUUAAAAAAAUUGGAAGCAAACAUUUUGUUUAAAAAUGUACGGAUAAUGUUUUCAUAACUUCUCUAAAUAUCAUUUAUGCUUGAAUUCAAUUGGUUUAAUCUUAUAUUCUUAUUUUUUAUGAUAUUAAAGCCUGCUACAAGUGAUUUUAUUUUAAGGAAUACUGGAAAUUGCAGCCCUAGGUACAUGAGGUGCACCAUUAAUUAGGUGAUACAUGUUGUCUUAAUGUCUUUCAUUUUCAUCUACUUUUCUUGUGAAAUGUUUUAAUGUAAGAUUGAUUUUGUUGUUGUUUGUUUAGAUUCCUUGCACUUCAGAUCUUUUGAACACAUCUGGCAUGCAAUUGGCUUUAUUGGUUCAUCCAUUAGCUCUUCCACAUCCAUUCAAGGAGCCUAUCCAAGUAAGACUGAAAAUUGGAAAAUACUUGUUUUCUUGAAAUUAUUGAAAUUGAGAUAUAAUAAUUUCAAUAUAUACUAAAAAUGUGUGAAUUAUUUUUCCAGAUAAUGGAUUUUGGUGAAGGUGAACCUGUUCGUUGUUCUUGUUGCAAAGGCUAUAUAAAGCUUUGACUUUAGGAGCAUCAACUGUCAUGAUGGGGAGAUUUUUAGCAGGAAGUACUGAAGCUCCUGGAGCUUAUACAAAUCAGGUUGGUAACUUGUAAUUUUAAAUUUAUUAAGAAAAAAUAAAACACUCGUAUAUAACUUACCAGAUUAAGUCCUUUUUCUCAUUUUGGUCAACUAAGGUGGUCAACGAGUUAAAAAAUAUCGAGGAAUGGGAUCUCUAGAAGCAAUGAAAAAAGGAAGUGAUGCAAGCAGAUCUCAAAUAACUUAUUUAAUUUAUAUGUAUUAGUUAAUUAAUACAUAUAAAUUAAAAUAUCACGCCUUCAUUUGAUUUCUAUACAUCAAAAAUCAGUAUUCACAACUUAUAAAUCAUGAGCACUCUUGUAUUUAUUUCUUUCUUUCUCAAUCUCUGUUGUUGGUUUGUGAGUAUGCAGAAAACAUUUUUUUUUGACUUAUUGGACAUGCUUGAGGAUAAAAGUUGAAAAAUAGAAGAUGAUUUUGACUUGCCAUCGUGGUCAGGUGAUGAACUUGGUGUCAGGGUUCUCGUGAAUGUUGAUAGCUUUGGUGUUGUUGGAGAUGGAGUUUAUGAUGACACAAAGGUGAAUAUAAAUAUAUAGUCUUUCUUGAAUGUGUUGAUGGAGUCAUUAAUGGGAUUCUUUUUAUUUUCAUGUAUGUUACAUAACAGGCCUUUAGAGAUGGAUGGAAGGAAGCAUGUGUUACAGAUUGCAUUCACAGGAAGCAGUGCAAUAUAUAAUGAUAUAUGCAUGAGAACUCAAUUGUAAAAAUGGAAGAACAAGACUCGGAAGAAUAACAAGGAUCUCUAUGUGGAUAUGAUUCAAAGUGUCAUCCAACAACUCUUCUAUCAGGUCAAUCAUAAUUGAUAAUGGUUCAUGUUCAAAUUUUCUUGAAUUUUUGUAUUUGUCUGAAUCAUGGUGUGACGGUUUUAAGUAAAUCACAUGUAAUUCAUAUGUGAAUUACAUGUGAUUCACAUGUAAAUCACAUAAGAAUUACAUGUGAUUCACAUGUAAUUCACACAUGAUUCAUAUGUAAAUCACAUAUGAGUUAUGUGUGAUUCACAUGUAAAUCACAAGUGAUUCACAUAUGAAUUACAUGUAAUUCACAUAUGAAUUACAUGUGAUUCGCAUGUAAUUCACAUAUGAUUCACUUGUGAUUCACAUGUAAAUCACAUAUGAAUUACAUGUGAUUCACAUGUAAAUCACUAGUGAAUCACAUUAGAAUUACAUGUGAUUUACAUGUAUAUAAUAUAUAAUUCACAUAUGAAUUACAUGUGAUUCACAUGCAAAUCACAUAUACUUCACAUAUGAUUCACUUGUGAUUCACAUGUAAAUCACUUAUGAAUUACAUGUGAUUCACACAUAUGAAUUAUAUGUGAUUCACAUAUAAAUUACAUGUAAUUCACAUAUUAAUCACAUGUAAUUCACAUGUAAAUCACAAGUGAACCACAUAUUAAUUACAUGUGAUUCACAUGUAAAUCACAAGUGAAUAACAUAUGAAUUACAUUUGAUUCACAUGUAAAUCACUAGUGAAUCACAUAUGAAUUACGUCUAUAUGCACACAUGCAUUUUGUGUGAGUGGUCUUCUUUUUUUUUUUUUAAUUUUCUUGUGAAUUUUACAUUUGAAUCUUAAAAGAUGCAAUCACAUGUGAAUAUUACAUUAUAUAAUCACAUUUGAAUCUUACAUGAUAUAAUCAUAUGUGAAUCUUACAUGAUAUAUACAUGUGCAUUUUUCUGAGUGUUCUUGCAUUAAUCAUUUUUUUUUUUAAAAAAAUCUUGUAGGUUUUGAUGAAUUUGUUGAAAAAUUGAAGAGGUGAAAAGUGAUAAAUUGAAAAAAAUAUGGAAAUCUUGAUAUGAAGAAAUGAUAAGACUGUGAAUCUUUGUAGCAUUUUUUAUUUUUUAUUAUGUAUCGAGUAAAUUAUUUGUUAUAUUAUGUUUAUAGAUUGAUUAAUAAAAAUUAUAUUUUCUAUGAUUUACUUACGAAUAUUAUAGUAUAAUAAAUAUACAUUUGAAUCUAAAAGGUUGAUUUUUUUUUGUUAAAAAAAGUAAAGUUUUUUUAACUAAUCUAGUUUUUUUUUGGUAAAACUUACUGAUUUUUAGCAUUUUACUUUUUUUUUUAAAAAAAUAUAUAGUUUUCUUUUAAUUGCAGUUUUUUUUUUUGAAAAAAAUUGUAGUUUUUUUGAAGAAAAAAAAAUGCAAUUUUUAAAAAAAUAAUUACAGUUUUUUUAAGAAAAAUGCAGUUUUUCUUUUUUUUUUGAAAAAAUUGCAGUUUUAAAAAAAUAUAUUUUUUUCAAAUUUUUAAAAAAUUCAUGUAUUCUGAAAAAAUUAAAAAAUCUGCAUAUUUAAAAAAAAAACGAAAAAUAUUAAAAAAAUCCGAAAUUUGAUUUGUUAUGUUAAUUUUUAAAACUUUUAAAUAAUUUUUUCAAUAACAAAAAAAAAAUAAACAUUAAAUGAGAUCGGUAAGAUGACGAUCAUGCCCUUAAUGAAUUAAUUUUGAUCUAACNNNNNNNNNNNNNNNNNNNNNNNNNNNNNNNNNNNNNNNNNNNNNNUGUCUAAUUUUUUUAUAUUAUUUUGCUUACAUUUUAUUUUAUUUAUUUUUUAUUUAGAUUUUAUUUGAGAUUUUUUUGAUUAUAUUGUUUAAUGUUUUUUACAUUUAGUUCGUAUAUAUUAUUUUGAAUAAUUGUUUCUAGUUUUUUGACAUUGUGUUUGAAUACAUUUUUUUGGCGUUUUGUUUCUUUAUAUUUUUUAAAAUAUUCUUUGUAAAAAAAUAUAAAAAAAAAGUUCGUUAAAUGUGAAUAUUAUUAACAUAUAUUAGUUAUAGAUUUAUUUUUUUAAUAAGAUUAAUAGAUAGGUUAACUGAAAUUCGAAAACGAAUUUCAAAUUAUAUAAUGACUAAUUGGAAAUCAUAUAACUCGAAAACGAAUAAAAUUUCUAAAAAAUAAAAAUAAAUAGUGAGAGUAAAAUGGUCUUUUUAAAUGGACAACAUAUGUACACUGCAAUUUAUUUAAACCGGGAUGAUUCUUGUCAAAAUUUUAAAAGUUCGACUGAAAAUAUGAAUCUAACUAAACCAUAGGGACCAAAACUAUAACUUAGUCUAAAUUUUAUCAAAAUCAAGAAUAUGUUUGGCCAAGCUCGUAAACUUUACUUCCUACGAGACAUUUGAAAUAUAAAAAUUAUCAUGGUCACAAGUAUGUAACUUUUUGCUUCACAAAAUAUUAUUGUUUAAAAUACAUUAUUAAAAGUUAAACAUGUAGAAAUUUAUUUUCACAAAAUACUAUUAUUUCAUAAUUUUUAAUUGUAUUUUAUGGACAAAAUAAACAGAUUGUUAGUUAAUCAUUUUAUUUUUUUUAAACUAUUAUUUUUUUAAAAACAAACAAAAAAUUUGUUAAUUAUUUAUAAUAACUUUUUAUAAAUUAAAAAUAAUGAGUUGGAACCUAUUUUUCAUGAACAAGUCAACUUACGUUAACAAAUCAACUGUAUAAAAUUAAAUACAUAUAUCUAAAGAAUAUGUAAAUGUAAAACUUGGUAAACAAAAUUUAUAUUUGUUUGAAUGCGAUCCAUAUUUUGAGUUAACAAGAAGCCAUAAAUGCGUGAAUUGAAAAGUACAAAGAAAAAUUCCAAAGCCACGUGAUCCUAUGAUCUACACAAAUCUUAUCAUAUACAGUCAGCAGAAUAGAAUUGAACAACAAACCAAAAAGCAAAAGCGAAAAGCUCCAUUAGAAAAAGACGGUUUUCUCCUUGCCUUGUAGACAAAAUUACAAUCAAGGACAAGAAUUGUAACCCUUUUAUCUCUCCCCUCUUUCUAAACACUACCCAUCAUCAACAGAAAGUAAAUUACCCUUUUGCCCUUCUCAUGCUUAUUCACCUCUCUCAAAACACAUAUACACAUUUUAACGACUCAAAAGACCCAAACCAUCACACACUUGAUGACAAGUUGUUUAACCUCUACAUAUACAAAAAAAAAAAAAAAAAAAAAAAAAAAAAAAAAACUAGACAUAAAUGUCCCUCUCUCAUCAAAAGUCACUUUGUGCUUAUCGAUCUUCUAAGCAACAGCGGAAAUGCCCCGACAGUUGAAUCCUUCGACCCUGACCGCAGGGCAUUUUUGUCCAAAUUUUCCUCUGGCACAACUUCCGCCACUUUUACGGGAAGAUGGUGAGGCUUCGAUGGUGGGUGAUGGUGGGUUUGGGUUUUCGUUACCAAAUUGAGCAUCUUGGACCACCGGGUUUGCCGCCCGGCUAGGUGGAGACCCACAAAAGAAUGGUGGUGAUGAUGAUACCACAUUGUUGGAUUUUUCAGCACCACCAUAACAUUCCUAUAAGAAAAAAAAGAAAUAAAAGAUGACGAGAUGAGAUUUUAAGUAAAAAGGUUUGACUUUCUUAUUUUAAGAAGGGGGAGUAAUAACAACCAAAAUAACUUUCUUAUUUUAAAAAGGGGGAGUAAUAACAACCAAAAUAAAGCUGGAUCUUGGAGGUACUAUAACAUUAAACACCUCCACUGGUUUUCAAUCAAGUAGUUAAAACCUUAUUGUACAACAUGCAAUAAAAGUUGUGAUUUUUUUGGUUUUUGGUGAAAUCGGAUUCAUGACAGAAUGAGAUUUCCAUGUUUCGAUACAAACCCACCAACCAUGGUAGCAAAGUCUCCAUGGAAAUUAAAAUGGGUGUAGGAGUAUUCUAUAGUCGAAAAGAAUGUGAUCUAUGACAAGAUCUUUGCCAAUAAAAUGAUAAAUUAUAAGAAAAUGAUGAACAAAAUUGGUAAAAUAUUAUACCCAAAUUGAGGAAUUCAAAGUGUUUGACCAUAUAAUAUCAAAAGUUUAGUCUAAUGAGUCUACAGUUAUAUAAUAAAGCCCCAAUUAAGAAUUAGCCAGCAGAAUCCCUGAAAAAGUUGAACAGAAAGAAACAAAAUUUUGGACUCAAACGUCACUUUCAAAUUAAAGGAAAAUUGGACACUCGACUUGAAUCCCAUAAAUCGAAGUAAAAGUUUAGAAGGUGAUUUCAAGGAAUUUUGACUUUUCGUAAGUGGCGAAAUCAUGAUGUAUCAAAGUGAAAAAAAAAUGGCUUGUAAUUUUGAUCUCAAAUUACCGAGAAUUCAGUUUGAAAUUAUAUCACACAAAUCACAGAAGUUCGUUGAUACCUUCGUCAAAAUCAUAUCUAGAAGCUCCAUCCUUGAUUUUGAUUCAUGCGUCUCCGUUUGAUGACUGUUUUAAACAUCAGAACCAAAUCAGAAUCAAAACAUCUGGAGAUAAAUCGAACGAAAAAUGAGAAAAGUAAAACAGAAAUUGAAACAAUACAUGGAAUAGUGCUGCUGCCAUCGAGGAGAUGAGGUAGAAAUGGACUCUUUCAUUGAAGGAUUCAAGAGAUACAAUCGACGAGGUUUCGGGCAAACAACGCCGUUCAUCGUCUCUUCACUUCUCACCAAGGCGUUGUUGUUGAUGUUGUUGUUGUUCUGCUGUUGAUAUGCACAGCGAUUCAUCAUCUCGAAACUCUUUCAAUCAGAAAAAAAUCGAGAUCUGUAUGCAAAAUCAACAACACCUGCACACAGAAAACAUAAAAAGCGAUUCAUAUUAAUGAAUAAACAUAUAUACAUGAGAUAAACAUGUCGAAUAUGGAAAUCAAAUACUGUUCACAAAACGAAUCCGAAAAUCAAGAGAGAGAGAGAGAGAGAGAGAGAGAGAGAGAGAGAGAGAGAGAGAGAGAGAGCGAGCGAGGGAAAUACCUUGGGCGAAGGGUAUUCAUAAACAGAUGACUAGAAAGAGAUUUUGAAGGGGGUGAAGAGAGGAAGCUAGAAAUGGGAGGUGGGUGACUAUUCAUUAGAAUGGGAUGAGAGAGAUGAUUGGGGACAGAUUUUUAGAAAAAAAUAUAUAUAUAUCUUUUCUUUGUGGGGAAUUAUUUACCUUUUAAAUAUAUUUUGUUUUUAAUUUAAGAUAUUUUUUGUUAUAAAAUUUUUAAAUAUAUAUAUAUCUUUACUAUCUUAUAAAACAAAUCUUAUUAUUUCUAAAAAUAGAUUAAAUAAAAUAAUAAUACUUUUUUAAGACAUCCAAAUCAUUAAGCUAAUUGUACAACUAAUCACUAAUAAAAUAAUAUUAAAAUUUAAACAAACUCCUAUAAAUCUUCUCUUCCAAGGUUUUGACCAGAUCUUUUUUCAUCCAAAUAAAUACUCAACACCCUAUAAUUUGGUCAUUUCAUGAAUUUUCUUUAUUUUUAAUAUGACAUGUUUCNNNNNNNNNNNNNNNNNNNNNNNNNNNNNNNNNNNNNNNNNNNNNNNNNNNNNNNNNNNNNNNNNNNNNNNNNNNNNNNNNNNNNNNNNNNNNNNNNNNNNNNNNNNNNNNNNNNNNNNNNNNNNNNNNNNNNNNNNNNNNNNNNNNNNNNNNNNNNNNNNNNNNNNNNNNNNNNNNNNNNNNNNNNNNNNNNNNNNNNNNNNNNNNNNNNNNNNNNNNNNNNNNNNNNNNNNNNNNNNNNNNNNNNNNNNNNNNNNNNNNNNNNNNNNNNNNNNNNNNNNNNNNNNNNNNNNNNNNNNNNNNNNNNNNNNNNNNNNNNNNNNNNNNNNNNNNNNNNNNNNNNNNNNNNNNNNNNNNNNNNNNNNNNNNNNNNNNNNNNNNNNNNNNNNNNNNNNNNNNNNNNNNNNNNNNNNNNNNNNNNNNNNNNNNNNNNNNNNNNNNNNNNNNNNNNNNNNNNNNNNNNNNNNNNNNNNNNNNNNNNNNNNNNNNNNNNNNNNNNNNNNNNNNNNNNNNNNNNNNNNNNNNNNNNNNNNNNNNNNNNNNNNNNNNNNNNNNNNNNNNNNNNNNNNNNNNNNNNNNNNNNNNNNNNNNNNNNNNNNNNNNNNNNNNNNNNNNNNNNNNNNNNNNNNNNNNNNNNNNNNNNNNNNNNNNNNNNNNNNNNNNNNNNNNNNNNNNNNNNNNNNNNNNNNNNNNNNNNNNNNNNNNNNNNNNNNNNNNNNAUAUAUAUAUAGAGAGAGAGAGAGAGAGAGAGAGAGAGAGGAUUAAUAUAAUAUGAGUGAAAGACCAAUUUUGAUACGUUAGAUUAAAAAAAUGAAUGGUUAAGUUGAUGAUUAUAUAUAGUUAGGAUUAAUAUAGUGUGAGUGAAAGAUCAAUUUUAAUACGUUAGAUUAAAAAAAAAUGAAUAGUUAAGAUGAUGAUGACAUGAUGGUAAUUAAUUUGAAUAAAUUAAUGAUUUUCGAUUUUAAAAUAACCUUUAAUGAUAGAUUGGUAAAAUUGACUAAUAAGAAAUUUUGGAAAGUAAAUAUGUUUAGGGAUACAAUUUAAACUAGAUUUCAAAAAAUAAAAUUAGAUUUUAUACAUUUUAAGUUAAUUAACGCUAACACAUUAUGAUUGUAAUUGAUUGCGAACGGCUAGAAAUUCUUAUACAAAAAAUGAUUAUUGUGUGCCGAUUCUUUAAUAAUGUUAUACUAUAUUAUUUAUACAUGAUUAAAUUAAUUAACACCGUCAAUUAGAUUAUAUUCUUUGAGAAUGAUCGGUAACUUCAUUCUUUCAUGACAAAAUUACAAAAAUGGUCCCUGUGGUUUAUUAAAAGUCAUAAAGUCAGUCCCUGCUAACUUUUUUAUAGAAAUAGUCCUUGUGGUUUGCAAAACAUGCACAUAUGGCCCGGCUGAAGGAUCGAACCUAAGACCUUCACCUAUUAAAUGGUCAAAGCCUUAACCAGUUAGGCUACAUGUAAUUUUGCUUUAUGUUUUCCAAAUACUAAUUCAUAUAAUAAGUAGAACGUUAAAACAUAAGCAAUAAAUAAAUUACAAAACACAUUUUUUUACGUAUUUUUUUAAUAAAACAAAAUGUAUUCUCGUAUUAUAAAAAAAAUUACAAACAAUUUGUAUGCAUUUUUAUGUAUUUAUUUUACAUAAAAACAUAUUUUUUUGUCUUUCAUAAUUUUUUUUCGUAAAAUAUAUAUAUUUUAUAUCUUUAAAAAAUACGUUUUCGUAAAUAUAUAAAUUUUUAUGUCUCUAAAAAAUACAUUUUCGUAUAUAAAAACGUAUUUCAUAAAAUAUUUUUUUUAUAUCUUUGAAAAAUAUGUUUUUGUAUAACAAAUACGUUUUAGUAAAAUAUAUUUUUUUAUGUCUUCGAAAUAAUAAUAAUUAACACUACUCAUGACAUAAAAAAAUAUAUAAAUUUUUUUGGAUCGAUAGUUCUAAAACCGGUGUUAAUUAUUAUUAUUAUUAUUUUACGAAAUAUAUAUAUUUUACGAAAUACAUUUUUUUUAUCCUUCGUAAAAUAUAUUUUUUUUAUAUUUUUAAAAAAUACGUUUUCCUAUAACAAAUACGUUUUCUUAUAACAAAUACGUUUUCAUGAAAUAUAUUUUUUUAUCUUUGAAAUAAUAAUAAUAAUUAACAUUACUCAUGACAUAAACAAAAUGUAUAAAUUCUUUUGGAUCAAUCGCUCUAAAACCGGUGUUAAUUAUUAUUAUUAUUUCAAAGACAUAGAAAAAUAUAUUUUACGAAAACGUAUUUGUUAUACAAAAACGUAUUUUUCAAAGAUAUAAAAAAAAUAUAUUUUACGAAAUUCGUUUUUAUAUAGGAAAACGUAUUUUUCAAAGAUAUAAUAUAUAUAUAUAUAUAUAANNNNNNNNNNNNNNNNNNNNNNNNNNNNNNNNNNNNNNNUAUAUAUAUAUAUUACGAAAAAAAAUUACGAAAGACAAAAAAAAUACGUUUUUAUGUAAAAAAAAUACAUAAAAAUGCAUACAAAUUGUUUGUAAUUUUUUUAUAAUACGAAAAUACAUUUUGUUUUAUUAAAAAAAUACUUAAAAAAAUGUGUUUUGUAAUUUAUUUAUUGCUUAUGUUUUAACAUUCUACUUAUUAUAUGAAUUAGUAUUUGGAAAAUAUAAACCAAAAAUACAUGCAGCCCAAUUGGUUAAGGCUUUGGCCAUUUAAUAGGUUGAGGUCUGAGGUUCAAUCCCUCCCCCAUCCUUCAGCCACAUAAUUAUUUUUUAAAAUAAUUUUCAAAAAUGGUCCCUGUNUCAUAUAUCACGAAUUUAGUCCCUUUAUAUCUGAAAAGACGAAAAUGCCCUUACCCUAACGGCUGAAUACUAACGGAGUUAGUAAAAAGGGUCAUAUGUGUAAGUUUUGCAAACCACAAGGACCAUUUGCAUCAAAAAAAAUUAGCAAGGGCUGACUUUGUGACUUUUGAUAAACCACAGGGACCAUUUUUGUAAUUUUGUCUUCUUUCAUUUCAUUUUGUUGAUUAUUGUUCAUCCAUUCUUUAAAAAGACAAAAUUACAAAAAUAGUCCCUGUGGUUUGCCAAAAGUAAGAAAGUUAGUCCCUAUUAAUUUUGUUUGAUGCAAAUGCCCCCUGUGGUUUGCAAAACUUGCACAGAUAGCCCUUUUUACUAACAUCGUUAGUAUUCAGCCGUUAGAGACUGAAUUAACAAGGGUAUUUUCGUCUUUUCAUGUAUAAAGGGACUGGAUUCGCAACUUUGGGUAAACCAUAGGGACUAUUUUUGUAAUUCUGUCUUAAAAUGAUAAAAAUGAUAGAAAAUGAGGAGAUAAGGAUUCGAACUCGAGACCUCCUUCCCACCUUCUUAUUCAGCCAAAGCUCUAACCAACUAAGCUAAAGCCAAACUUAUUGUAUAUUUCCGAAAAUUAAUUAAUAUUAUAUAAAAGCGUAAAUAAUUAAUAAUAAAAAAAUAAAAAAAAAACCUAUUUUUUAAAAAAAAAUUAAUAAAACAAAAUAUAUUUUUAGCGUAUUAUAAAAAAACAUAUUUUUUACAAAAACUUUACUUCUUUAUUUACGUAUUUGUUUUACAUAAAAUAUUUUUUUUAUGUAUUUAAAAAAAUACGAUUUCGUAUACUAUGUUAUUACAUUGCUAUGAUCCUAAAACAUGUUUUUACGUUUUCAUAUAAAAUUACGUUUUUUUUUUCUUUCACAUAGAAAAAAAAGUUUUUUUUUCGCAUAAAAUAUUUUUUUUAUAUAUUUAAAAAAUAUAUUUUCGUAUAAAAUGUUUUUACGUAAAAACAUUAAGAACGUGAUAACAUAACGUAAAAAUAUGUUUUAUGAUCAAAUCAAAACGACUUAUAUUUUUUAGAUAAAAAUGCGUUUUUUUUACAUAAAAAUACGUUUUUUUACGUAAAAAUAUAUUUUUUACGUAAAGCAAAUUAAAGACAUUUUUUUUACAUAUGGGUGAUUGGUCCCUCCCCCAUAUAGUUUGUUCCGCCCAACCCACUUCAACGAUUUCCUAAGAAAGAAGUUAAUUUAAAAAGGUCAACACAAAAAUGUUGGUGAAUUCAUAAGCAUGUUUGAGAAAAUGAUUUGUAUAAUUUUGUAAUUACCAGAAAAUCCUAUAUUUUCUGAAAAACAGUUUCAGUAUGCGUGUGUCCGAUCUUGUAUUAAUGCAUGUGUGUUAUUGUUUACUAGUAUGCAAAGAAAAUGAAGAAAAAGAAAGAGAAUGUACAGAGAAUGCCCCAUACAACCCUAUGUUGUCUGUAAAAGAGAAUGCCGGUAUACCAACCCCCGAGGUUGAGUACCGACGCGAGUAUGUUCCCGAGUAGUCCAUUUAGAAAAGAGAAUGGUCUCCUGUAAAUUUGUAAUGUUAAUUCCUCUAAGUGAGUCGCUAUAACCAUACUAGAUAAUGACAAUUUCGCCUGUCACGACGUUGUUGGACGCCGACGGAAAUAGAAUAAGGUUUUCGUCACCAUAGAUUGAUUUAGUCUAACUGUAGCGAACAACUCAGGUGUGGGGUGUCAUCCCCGUAUAGAUCUAUACACAAAUCCCCGCUCUCCCUCUAAGAGACUCUGGUUAUAACUAUAGGCUACGAUCGUACACUCAAUAGGUGUCGACCGACACGUCUCACUAGAUCCUUAAUCGAAAUUCAUGCGAAAAGAAACAUAUAAUGCACACUCCAAGCCCAAUGAAUCAUGUUAGCGAACAACUACGACUCACUAAACAUGUAAGUCAUUUCAAGGCUCGAAAGGAAAGACAUUAUAUAACAUGGGCCCAAAAUAUAUGUAAAAGUACACUAAGGCCCAUCUUACAUGUGUAUUAUUUACAGCCCCAAAUAGAAUGCAAAGAGUAUCCAAGGUCCGUUGAGCAUGCUAGUGGGUUAAUAAGGCCCAAUAAACAUAUAAAGAGUAUUCAGGACCUAUCAAGCAUAUAAAUGGGUCACCAAGGCCCAAUAACCAUGAGAAUCACAUAAUUAGCCCGUUUGUUAUUAUAUUGUUAGUUUUAGCUCAAUCAUUUACCAGAAUGACAUAAAAGGCCCACUUUUUGUAAAAAUGACAUUAUUGGCCAUUAAGCAAAAAAUUUACAAUUAAAGCCCAAUUUUGGUAAAAAUAACAUUUUAGGCCCCUUUUUAGAACAAAACUUGCAUUUAAGGCUAGUUUUUGUAAAAAUAACAUUUUUAACUCACUUUUGUCAAAAAUAUCAUUUUUGGCUUGGUUUUUAUAAAAAUAUGUAUUUUCAGCCAUUAUAGAUAAUUUCAUCUUUUUGGCCCAAAUUUUAUAAUUUCACAUCUUUAACCCUUAUUAUCACAAAUUUACAUUUAUGGCACAACUUUGUUGAAUAUGACAUUUAAGCCCACAAAAGAUCCAAAAUUACAAUUUUUGGCCCAAAGCCGUGAAAAGUCCAAAUAAGGCCCAUUUAUGAAAAUGUUUACAUUUUUAGUCCUUUUAAGGUCUCAAAUGUCGAAAUUAAACAUGUUUAGCAAAAAAAAUCCUUUUAAACCCCUUACUAACCGUGAGUUACAUAAAUAACCCAUUCUUUUGUCAUUUUGUAACUUUUAGCCCCUUCUAUGAAGUUUUUCUUAGCUUUAAGUAACUUAUAUGUAUUUUAACCUUUUCUUGUAAAAUAAGUUGAAAUAAGUGUUAUAUUAUACCAAUAUCACCAUCUUUUAAUAGAUCUUUAAGUUCAUGAAGUUCGCAACACAUAAAUACAUAUAUAACUAGAAAUACACACAAAAUCAUGCAUAUACACAUAGAUCUACACAAAACAACUUGUAUUCUCCCCCAAAACAAAGUAAAAAUCGAAAAUAGGGGGUAUGAACUCACAUUGCUUUGAAGCUUUCGGUUUUUGGUGAGGAAAUGAGAAAAUCUCGGCCCUAGAUAUUCCUUUGAGGAGAUUUUCGAGAUCUAUGAAGUUCUAAGAGCAUGGAUCAUGAAAUGAUGUGGGUUAAGAAGAGAUUUUUGGUGUAAACUUGAAGUUAAACCAUAGAGUCAAACAAGAACUUACUAAGAGUGAUGAGCUUCGAUGAAGAGUUCUUUAUGUGCCCUUAAAACUCACGAGAACUAGGAGGAUGAAAGAGGGAAGUUCUUGUGCUAGAGAGGAAGAAUAAGAGAAUCUUGAGUUUGAAAAUGAAGAGUGAUGGUGGGGAGGCCUUAUAGCCGAGAGUUUGAAGAAAAGAGAUGGAGAUAGAAAACAUUUCAUAAAAGUAUGGGAUUUUACAUUGUUGUAUGGUGGUUAUUGUACAUGGAUGACCACCAUGCAACAAUGAGGUGUCAUGGUUUCAAUCCUCUUAUUAUCUCUUCCUUUUUUAAAAUUAGGCCGAGAAUGAGGUAGUGUGAGGAGAAAUGUAGGGCUAGAAUUGAAUAUAUUUGAAACUACAAGAUCCAAGGUGGAAGUUUUCGGCCCAUUGGGGCCUCUUAGGGGUUUACGGCCCAAAAGAGUGAACAUAAUAGGUUUUAGGCCCAUUUAGGUUCAAGAAAACAUCUAUGUCCCAUUAUGGCCCAUAAAAAUGAAGUGAGUCAUUUUAGGCCCAACAUGGCCCAAAAUGCUUUAGCUUAAUGAAUGUGGGUCCAACUAGAGCCCAAAUAGGGUUCCUUGGCCCAACAUACCCAACUUGAAAGUUUAUUGGCCCAUUAGGCCUAAUAACAGGAUCCUAGUCUAUAAUAAAAUUGAACCGGGAUAUUUCGGGUUUCAGACCCAUAGUUAAGUAUACGAGAUGUAUUGCAUUAGGUUUUGGAACUUCACUCAAGAGUUUUGAUUCAAAAGGAUGAUUUUAAUUGAGCAUAAAGUAUGAUAUCCCCUUAGAGUACAAGUCUUAAAAUAGUUGAUGUUUACAUGAAAAUAGAAUUUCCUAGCUAAAAUGCUAUUUGUGACAUCAUCCCUCCGUUAGAAGGAAUUUCCUCCCGAAAUUCUUUUGAAAGAUAGGAUCACGAAUGAGAGAAUAAGUGAGGGUACUUAUGCUUUAUCUGGUCUUCGUGUUCCCAUGUGAAUUUUGGUCCACACUUAGCGUUCCAUCGAACCUUGACAAUCGGAAUGUGGCUCUGUUUCAUACGCUUCACUUCCCUAUCCAUUAUCUCGACCUGUUCUUCGACGAACAAGAGAUUCUCGUUUAUUUCGAUCUCUUCUAGAGGAAUGACAAGAGUUUCAUCUGCAAAGCACAUUUUCAAGUUCGAGACGUGGAACACAGGGUGUACGUUGUUGAGCUCCGAAGGUAGCUGCAACUUAUAAGUCACCGGACCAAUUUGGGCAAGAAUCUCGAACGGCCUGAUGUAUCGCGGAUUUAGUUUUCCUCGUUUCCCAAAACGGAUCAUUCCCUUCCAGGGAGAGACCUUCAAUAGUACUCGAUCUUCGACUUGGAAUUCCAGAGGUUUUUGUCGUUUGUCAGUGUAACUAUUUUUGUCGGUCAUGCGACGCUUGGAGUCGGGCUUUGAUUUGGAUUAUCUUCUUUGUAGUUUCUCGAAUGAUUUUCGGCCCUGUAAGGGUGCUGUCCGGUGAUUGCCCUUUUGCCAUCUGGGUGUCACCUACCUCAUCCCAGCAGAGAGGCGAUCUGCAUUUGCGACAAUAUAAGGCCUCAAAUGGAGCGACCCUUAUACUCAUGUGAUAGUUGUUGUUGUACGAGAAUUCAAUCAAGCGAAAGUGGGCAUCCCAUGACUUAACGAAAUCGAUCACACAGGCUCGGAGCAUGUCCUUGAGUGUUUGGAUGGUCCGCUCGCUCUGGCUAUUGGUUUGAGGAUGUUAGGCAGUGCUGAUGUCUUGCUGUGUUCCCAGAGCCUUCUGGAGUGACUGCCAAAACCGUGAAGUAAAUCUACUAUCACGAUCCGAGAUUACAGAUAUUGACACUCCAUGGAGUCUCAUGAUCUCUUUGAUAUAGAUUCGGGUUAAUCAUUCCAUCUUGUAGGAUUCUUUUAUUGGCAGGGAAUGAGCGGAUUUAGUUAACCUAUCGACAAUCACCCAGAUAGUGUAACAACCAAAAAUUUCACACCAAUUUUUUUAACCAUCAUAAAACACGUGUCUCAUUAACAAAAUCUAAUAUCCAUCAAAAAAGUUUUCAAAACAAAAAGUCAAAUCUAGGAUCCACAAACAUAGCUCCAUAACGAGAGUGUAUGUACAAUCAUGUCGGUGCCUUCCUGCGAUCCUCUAAGGUACCUAAAACACAUAACACGUAACACGGUAAACAUGAAUGCUCAGUGAGUUCCCCAAAAUACCACAUACAACAAUUUGCCAUUCGAGGCUAUACUCUGUAUGACCCUCUGGUCAUUGUGUCUCAGCGGGACCCUCCAGUCCCGUAGCUCAUUGGACCCUUUGGCCCGGUCUAGCUCGUUGGACCCUCUGGUCCGGUCUGGUUGAGGACCCUCUGGCAUCGUAAAUCGUUGGACCCUCUGGUCCGGUCAGAAUAACACAUAGCAUACAUAAAUCACAAUACACGUAAUCUCAAGCAAACAUGUAUGACCUUUCGGUCCACACAUAGAUACCACCCUAAGUAAUGUAUAGUGAGAAGACUCACCUCGGGUAAACUCGGAUGAUCUCGUACUCGAAACACUGAUCUAGCCUCCGCCUAAUCACAUACAGAAAUUACCUCUAGUUAACAAUGGCUCUCAAAGGCUAGACUAUUCCCUUCCUAUGCUCUCUCUCAGAAGGGUAAAAGACCAUUCUACCCUUCCUGACCUCUUACACUCAUCUUGACCAAACCCUAAGGUCAACAAAGUCAACAGUCCAUCUUUUGACCAAACUCGUCGAGUGCACUCGGGCGACUCAUCGAUUCUAGUCGAUUCAUGGCAACCCCAGUAAGCUCCAACUCAACGAGCUAACUCCUAACCCAUCGGGUCACCACUUGAAUCAGUUCAUCGGGAUAAAACCCUGGGCUACUCGCCGAGUCAGCGACUCGACUCGGCGAGUCUAUUCAGACUCUCUUGCAUUCAGCCAUUUUAGUGCAAGAUACUUUCCCAAGCUUUAUAUCUAAGCACUCAAGGCUAAAUAAUCACGUAAAGGUUCGACCUUUAUGUCCAUGCAUCACUCAUCUAGCUCUAUUUGACAAAAUAACCCUCAAAGUGGUGUCUUUGGUUCAAUAUUCUUAUGUAACUGCAUAAAGUUGGGCUCUUGGGACUCUCUGGACCUCUCAAGGUCCAGAUCUGAUGUCUAAGCCUCAAAGGGACUUCACAUGCUUCAUAUCUCAACUUAAAAGAGGGUAAAGAAGCCCUAAAUACAUGAGAUCUACUAAUCAUAUGAAAACAAGUAUGGAUUCAUACCUCCAACAACAGCCUUGAAUGAAAUAAUGGAAGAUUUGAGCCCCCCCCCCUAGCCAGUUAAGCUUGAACCUUCUCCUUCUUCCUUGCAAGAAUGCACCAAAAUGAAGCAAUUAGCUCCCUCUAUCUCUCUAAGCUCUCUGGAUCGAUUUGAGGUCUCUCAAGGGGAAGUGUGGCCGCAAAUGAAGGCCAUAAGAGCCUUUAAAUAGGUCACAAACCCGGGCAAUUAGGGUUUUCCUCAGCAGCGCUGACUUAGCGAGUUAGAUACCCGACUCAUUGAGUCCAUUCAUUAAACACGUCACCAAGUCGCGAGCCCACUCGACGAGUUGAGGCACCAACUCGUCGACUCCCUCUAAAAUUCUUAAAUCAAAUAUUAAGAAUAAUAUAUUUGGAAAACGGAUGUUACAAUUCUCCCCCAUUAGAAUCAGACUUCGCCCUCGAAGUCCUGCUUUGCAAAUAGCUCGGGGUACUACUCCCGCAUCUCCGACUCCGGCUCCCAAGUUAAAUCGGACCCCUUUCGAUGUUGCCACUGGACCUGAACCAGGGGCACUUCCUUUUUCCUCAAAACCUUUACCUUCUGAUCUAUGAUCUUGAUCGGCCUCUCGAUGUAAUUCAGGCUCGCAUCCACCUGAAUGUCCUCUAAUGUUACUACUGCCGUCUCAUCAGCCACACACUUCUGCAACUGGGAUACGUGGAAGUUGUUAUGGAUCUGGCUCAACUCCUCAGGUAGCUCCAGCUGAUAUGCUACCUUGCUUACCCUGGCGAUCAUCCUAAAAGGUCCAAUAUAUCGGGGCCCCAACUUGCCCUACUUCCUAAACCGGAUUACUCCUUUCCAUGGGGAAACUUUCAGAAGCACAAAAUAUCCGACCUGGAACUCAAGCUCGGAUCGUCGUCUAUCCGCGUAACUCUUCUGACGAAUCUGAGCCGUUUGCAACCUUUGUCUAACCUGUUGAAUCUGCUCGGUCAUCUUCAGCACUAUCUCAGUGGCGCCCAUAACUCUGUGUCCCACCUCUUCCCAACAGAUGGGAGUACGACACCUCCUCUCAUAAAGGAGCUCAAAGAGAGGCAUACCGAUGCUCGAGAGAUGGUUGUUGUUAUAGGAAAACUCAGCCAAGGGUAGGUAUGUGUCCCAACUCCUAUUGAAAUCCAUAACGCAUGCUCGGAGCAUGUCUUCGAGCGUCUGAAUCUUCCGCUCACUAUGAGGCACCCAAAUCCGACCUCGAAUGGUCAUAAGUCCCCGGCUAUCCGUCACAAACUUGGAUACUUGGCCGAUCACCUGCUCCUUCUUGCAGUUCUCUAGUCUCAUGGCCUCCGCUUGGGCCUCUCAAAUGAUAUCCAAUACCAGAGUCAUCACUGUCAUCCUCAUGCAUAUAUCCCAAAUCGGGGCACUCUCCACCUUGCGGCUCAGGGCAUCGGCUACCACGUUAGCCUUGCUUGGGUGAUAUAGAAUCUCACAGUCGUAAUCUUCUACCACAUCCAACAACCUUCUCUGGCGCAUAUUCAGGUUAAGCUGAUCCAUCAGAUACUUCAAGCUCUUGUGGUCCGUGUAUAUGGUACACCGAACCCCGUACAAGUAAUGGCGCCAGAUCUUGAGGGCGAACACCACUGCCCCCAACUCUAAAUCGUGGGUGGGAUACCUCGUCUCAUGAGGCUUCAGCUGCCUUGAUGCAUAUGCUAUCAUGUGCCCUCUCUAUAUAAGCACUACACCUAACCCCGAUAUAGAUGCAUCACAGUAAACCACAAAGUCCUCCAUCCCCUCAGGAAGAGCUAACACUAGAGCUUAGCACAAUCUCUGGUGAAGAGUCUCAAACGAGGUCUGCUGCUCAGGACCCCAAACAAAAGCAACGCUCUUCCUGGUCAACUUGGUGAGAGGAACAACAAUCUUGGAGAAAUCUCUGAUAAACCUCCGUUAGUAGCCCACCAACCCCAGAAAACUCCUGAUCUCGGUGGGGGAUCUCGACACCUCCCGCCUCAAUCUUGGCCGAGUCAACCAAAAUCCUAUUCUGAUUAACGAGGUGUCCCAAGAAUUGGACCUCUCGUAACCAGAAAUCACACUUGGAGAAUUUGGCAUAAAGACUCUCUCAUCUCAAUACUCUAAGGACCUAUCUCAAAUUCUCCUCAUGCUGCUCUCUAGACCUCGAAUACACCAAAAUAUUGUUGAUGAACACAAUCACCGAAUGAUCCAACAUAGGUCUGCAUACCCGGUUCAUGAGAGCAUGAACGCUGGUGGUGCAUUUGCGAGCCCGAAGGCAUCACCACAAACUCGUAAUGCCCAUAACGAUUUCUAAAUGUUGUCUUCUGAAUAUCCUCCUCACGGACCCUCAUCUGGUGAUAACCAGACCUCAAAUCGAUCUUGGAAAACCAAGAUGCACCCUGCAACUGAUCGAACAAAUCGUCGAUCCUCAGGAGUGGAUACUGGUUCUUGACCGCCAGCUUGUUCAACUCCCGGCAAUCAUGCACAUCCGGUGUAAACCAUCCUUUUUCUUGACAAAAAGGAUCGGUUCUCCCCACGCUGAAAAGAUGGGAGAAUACUUUAGUAUCAGUUUUGUGAUCAUCUUAAUGAUUAAGAAACCAUAGCACAAUUAGUUCUCUAAGGAAUCUUAGUGCAUUCUUAUGACUAAGAAGAGGAAUUUUGAAUUGCUGAAAUGGUUAAAUCAAGAAGAUGAGUCAUACUUCGUUCCAAUAUAAGUCUUAGAGUCAUACUCCAAGAUUGUAACUUGAGUGACAUGUCUUAAAGAAGGUUUAAAACACUUGUCAAAUGUAAGAGUAAAAGUUUUCUACUCUUGUACAUUUGAAAUUGGUAAGUUGUGAUGUUUUGGAUAAAACAAAGACCAACUAAGGCCAAAUGUGUGAAGUGUUUGUCUUGAUUAGAAUCCGUACUAUCUCUUGGAUGUUUGACAAGGGAGUCUUAUAUGUAAAGAGGACAGUGGGAGUCUUAAAGGUCUUGAAAGUCUCAAGAACUAAUCAAGAAUGAAACCUGAAGUUCCUCACUAGCACACGACUUGAGGUUCAUAACCUAUUGUGUUGACAUAUUUUGUACCCAUUCCAAUUAAAGUUGGCUUUGCAUAUGAGUCCUUAGAGUUCUCAAUUGGUUGCACAACAAACUUGGAAGCAAUGGUAGGCCCUUGAGCUGCCAGGUGGCAAGAAAUUAAGAUUGAGUUCAGUCCAUAUGAAUUUGGAUUUUUCAUUAUCCUUGUCUUGUGACAAUGAUUUUGACAAUUCACAUGGAUAAGAACACAUACACCAUUAAAUCUAAGUGUCAUAAGGUUUCUCUCCGAUUCAUGAAAAUGAUGGUGAGGAAACACUUUCACUAAGUAGAUUUUAGCUAGAUAGCAAUUGUGAUAUUUGCAUUCUCAAAGUCGUUAGUGGAGCGUGUGUGGUUAACCGGCACACUAACCUGGACUUGUGAGAAGUGGCAAAAAGGUCUAACCAUUAUGAUUACGGCAUCCCUCUUCAUAAUUGUUUAGACACACAAGUGUGCUAUCUAAGGGAAGGUGUAUGAUUUUGAUAAAGUUUUAUCAAAACAAUCUAGUAUCAGAAAUCUGAACUUUGGUAAGAAAGUCAAUGAAGUAUUGAUUUCUAGAAGUCCAGCUGAUUUCUGAGUACAUGUCAAAGCUAGUGGGAGCAUAAGUGUUAUGCUAAUAAUCAUCAUGUUAGUGGGAGCAUGAUAAUUAUGAUAAGUAUUGCAAGUUAGCAAUGUUAAUUAUAGAAAACAAAAGUUUCAAUUGGGAAAAAGUUGUUUUGCUAUAAUUAAGGGAGAGGAAAUUAUACUUCAUCUCAAAUCUAUAAGCUUAGAUCGUGAGGUUUUAAUCAUUUAGUCAAAGAUAUAUAUGAAUUUCAUGUUGGAAUGGCUCAACAUAAGGAAAUUCUGUAUAUGGGUCCAUUAUUUGCGUUCUAAAAUUCGAUUAUGAUUACGGCAUCCCUUUUCAUAAUCUGAAUUAUGAGAACUUGGCAAAUAGAAAUGGAAAUAUUAUAGCAAAAGACUGGUUUAGUCUUUAUGUGAGACAUCAUGAAUCGUGUCCCAUAUGCUUCGGAUAUAGGAUCGAUUACAUGUGCUAUAUUCAUCCGUUCUAAAAUUUUCCAAAUGCCUGGGGCAUUAAGAAGGGAAAAGGUUUAGAACUGGAUAUGACUAAAAGGAUUAAACAAUUGUCGAGGACAAUCUAAGGUUUACCAAAGAUUGGUUGCUCAAGGACAGUUGGAAGUAUAGUGAUAAUUCUGGAAGGACCAUAUUGACAUAAUCUGUAAGGAGGCAACUCUUGUUCAGAAGUGAUAGUCAAAAUGGAAUAUGGAAAUGUUUCAAAGUUAGAAAUUAUUCAAUCUGUGUAAGAUUAGGAAACUUAAUGCAAGAAGGAUGUUCCCAAGGAGCUGAUCUCCUGUGGAAUACUUUGUAAUGGUUGUUGUCAAGUCCUUGUGAUUUUGUGCAUAAUCAUUACAAGAAGAUCAAUGCAUAUAAGUUUAUAAUCUAAUAGAUUUCUGUAAAUGGCAUGAAUCUGGAAUUCUUCCAUUUGCAGUAAGGAUUUGGGACUGUGAAAUGAGAAUCAUUGGAGUUAUGUUCAAUUGAUCUAUUUCACAAACUAAAGAUCAUAGACAAACAUAGUAUGCAUACUUGGUGUGUGGCAUGACUAGUGUUUAGAAAACAUAGUGUACAUGAUUGGAGCAUGGGACAACUAUUGUUUUAAAUUCAAGAAUAAAGUUGAUAGCUGAAACAGUAUACAAUGAAUAAUGUGUAAUCAUAUGGUGAUAAAUAAAAGGUGUUUUAUUUAUGUUCAUAGGUUUUG